rnacentral:lncRNA from 1 species
AUGUUUAGAGUAUUACAGAAGAGAAGUAGUAAGAGACCAGGAACAAGACUAUGUGAUUAUGCGAUGAUAAAUAAGAUGGUUAUCAUCUUUUUGUUUGAUGUUUAUGGUGGAUCAGAGUAGAAUUAGAAUUGAUGGGUGGAACAAUAUUUGGGUAUCGUAAUCUAGGAUCUUGAUAAAAUAUUAGACUUCAUUUCCUGUGUCAGUUUUUAAAUUUUAUUCCAGUCCUUGAAUUAGCAAGUAUCUUGAACGGAGAUAACUGUUAGCUGUUGUGGAGGUAUGGUAUGUUUCGCUUUAAAGGGAAAAACUUCGAAAUUUUACGUUAUAAUGGUUCACCUAGAAAGCAUUUGAAAUACCAUUUAGGAACGAAGAUCUGGUGACCUUUAUAGCAGUAUGAACCUAAGUUGCGCGGACUCUUCACUUUCAAUGCCGCACCCGUCUCAGGUUCUCCAAAAAUUCACUACUUUUGGCAAAUCCGACACGCACCCCUUGACAUUAUUGAAGAGUCCGAGCAACAUAGGUAUGAACAGGGUUGGCGUAUGCCUUAAAACAUCCUGAUUUCUGAUCUUAAGUUAUGUGAUAGCAGAUGCCCCUGCCCAUUUUCUCCUGGAACUCCCCUUCUUCAUUUGUUGUAUUUGCCAAAUACUGAGGCAUGUACAUUAGGCUCAUCUUUACAGUUACAGUGUUAAUUUAAAUUACAGGUGUAAUAUCCAUUCCAGAAUAAGGUUGUCUUUUUUUUGUAUGGAACACACUUGUCCUUUCUGUUUCUACCAUUCCAAAUCCCCUCACUGCCUAUCAAAUGCCUGUGUCUUUAUUCAACUCAAACCGAGCAGUCUAUGCUGUAGCCAGAUAUUCAUAAUCUCUUCUUGAUAUAAAUGCCUCGGUUGUUUCACAGCAUGCUUUGUCAAUCUCCCCAAGCAACGAAACGUGCUUUGUCACUUUUAAGUGAACAAAAUCUUGUCUGUCGGGUGGAUGUAGAACUGUAGAUCACUUUCGACUCUUCCCUUUUAUGCUUUUUACUGCCUGUUCUGCUGAAUACUAAAUGAUGCACCAAGUCAUUAUUAGACAUCACCCUCGAAAUCCUAGCUUGAAAUGUAAUGAUCUGAUCGUCAAGAUUUGCUACAUUCGCUAAAUGAGUAUAAACAACCAUUUUAAUGGUUUAUAAUGUCUUAGAUUUAGAUUUACUGGGUAUUUUGCCUAAUGUUUCCAGAAUUCUGUUCUCAAAUUCACUUCCGUUCAUAUUUUAUUUCAGGUUGUUCGUAAGAAGUCCUUUGACAUGCCACCUUUAAGUGUCAAUGAAGCAAUUGAACAGCUGGAAAAUGUCGACCAUGACUUCUAUGGUUUCCGGAAUGAGGAAACUGGUACUGAGAAACAUCCUUACAACAUCAUAAACAGUUUUCUAAAUGCUUCAAGGUAUUUUGUUAAUGAUUUUAUGCUUGUUGCAGGUGAGAUUAACAUCGUUUACAGACGAAAAGAAGGGGGUUAUGGACUUAUUAUUCCAAAGGAAGAUGGUAAAACAGAGAAGUUAGAGCCCUUGGAGGUUGAACCAGAGAAAGAACCGUCGAUAGCAGAAUAAAUCGAUAUGGUAAAAGAGUUAUUAGUUAGUCACUGAGUACAUUUGCUUAGGCAUAAUGUUCACUCCUUGAGAGUCACAAGAAACAGUUUUAUGAAUUGAGAAUAUAUUGCCAAAAAAGCUUCUGUAUGAAAUGAGUUCUGUAAAGUUUGUAACUAAAACUUGACAAGGAAAAAUGCAGCUUUUCAUUUCCUUCUCUAUUGUUGUUGUAAUAUAUUAACUACUGCAUAUUUCAGAUUACAAAAUCUUUAUCUAAUAACAAACCUGAAAAAAGGGUCUACUAACAUCCUUGUGAAUAAAUACAUAGUUCAUCACAUUUGAGAAUCAUUAAUUACAUAUUUAAUGGGAUUCAUGGAAUUAUUAACGACAAAAUCUUGACUGGAUAAUCUCAUAUAUGAAGAGUUAUAUAUACGUUUAAUUAUCGUAAUUCAACAAAAGAAAACUCUUAAUAAAUAUAAAACGUUACUUGCAUAUAGUUCAAAAUGCCUUUUUUAAGGCCAUACGUAUUAAUAGUUUGAUAGUUAUGGUUAUAAAUAUGAUGCAUGUCUGUCAAGAGAUGCAAGAAUUCAUCUUCAAAUGAUACAAGGAGCCUAGACAUUAUCUAAUCAAGCAAGCAAAUUAUCUUAUAUAAACUUGAAGAUAAAAGGAGUUUGUUACAAAAUUCAAAAACCAACCAACUACACAAUGGAGAAAUUAGUAUUAACAUUGUUAGCAUUACUAUUAUACUUGGGAUUAGUUUAUGGAGAAAUUAGUAACAAGUGUGUGUUUCCAGCAAUAUAUAAUUUUGGUGACUCGAAUUCGGAUACCGGUGGAAAAUCAGCAGCAUUCCGUCAAGUGCCUCCACCGAAUGGACUAACUUUCUUUGGCAGUCCCAUGGGCAGAAUGUGCGAUGGUCGUCUAAUCAUAGACCUCAUAGGUAAAACUUAUUCGUGUUUGAUCAGGAGAUCACGAGUUCAAGUUGUUAAUUUUUUUUUUUCAUGGUGUUGUAGCUGACAGGUUGGAGUUACAGUACUUGAGUCCAUAUUUAGAUUCAGUAAUGGCAAAUUUUAGAAAUGGUGCAAAUUUUGCAACAGCUGGUUCAUCUAUACUUCCUGGUGGUUAUAGUCCUUUUAGCCUUGAGGUUCAAAUUUCUCAGUUUUUACAAUUCAAAAAAAGGACUAUGUUGCUCUCUGAUUUAUCAAGUGAGUUUUAACUUCUCAUUGUCUUAAUUUUCUACUAAUAUCUACAUUGUAUGAGUGUUUAUGUUAUUGACAUUAUUGAUGCAGUUCCAAAUAAAUCAAAAUGGUCUUCUUCAAAAGUCAACAUUGCAAAUCCACAAGAUUUUUCAAAGGCACUGUACACAUUUGACAUUGGACAGAAUGACCUUUCUUAUGGUUUUCAAUAUACCCAUGAAGCACAAGUCAGAGCAUCCAUUCCUCUAAUCAUAGACAAUUUUACUCAAGCAAUUCAUGUAUGUUCUUUCUUUCUUUUUUUUCGUAGAGCUCAUACACAUAGUAUAAAUUUCUCACAAAGGGUGUUUAACUGACCAUCCUUCAUUAUAUAUGGUUUUGAGCCUACUGUCCAGUGUCCACCAUAUCCUUAACACGCGUUACUAAGGCAUAAGGCUUGCUUUCUUAUAUACCUAACAUCUCUCGUGUUUUUUCUACUUGGGAUUUGGCUUAGAUGCUACACAUUUGGGAGACAAAUACUAACUUUUGAUUAUUGAAUCUCUUUUUUCUUUUUCUUACUAAUGUUUGUGUAUAUACAUGAUUUGUGCAGCAACUUUACUAUGAAGGGGCUGUGAAUUUCUGGAUCCACAAUACAGGUCCCAUUGGCUGUUUGCCCUACAGUGUGAUAGAUUAUCCAUUGAAGCCUCAGGGAUUGGAUGGCAUUGGGUGCAUAGAGAACGAAAACAAGGUGGCUCGUGAGUUUAACGAGCAACUCAAGGACAGGAUAUUACACUUAAGAGCAGAGCUUCCUGGUGCUGCAUUUACUUAUGUUGACAUUUAUUCAGCUAAGUAUCAACUAAUUAGCUCUGCGAAGGAACAAGGUAAUUUCUAUUGCUUUGUUAAUAAACCCCACUACUCUUUGAAUGAAUGAACAAAACUGUAACCUAUGCUGAUUUCCUCCUAGAAGUUACAGUUAUAGGAGCAGCCUGCUGCAGUCAAAGCAUCCCUAUUCAUUUAGAGCCUGGGAAAGGGCACGUACCCUAACUGUAGGCAAUCUACCUUGAUGCAAGCAUCAAUGAUUGAUUCAACUGGUCGAACUUGGGACUUAUAGAAAGUUCUGUUUACACAAUCAAUGUGUUUUAUUUAUAACCUAUUAUACCAGUUUGUAACUAUUUUUAUCAGGUUAACAAUUAUGAAUGUUAUCAUAGAGAUUUACCUUGAGCUACCUUAUGAGUGAGCUGAUUAUAUAAUAUCUUUUGAACUAUCAGCACAUAGAACUUAAACUAAUAUGGUCAACUAUGCUUUGUUUUUUAUGGGCAAACAGGUUUUGGAGACCCAUUGAAAUUCUGCUGUGGAUGGUACAAUAAUGGUUCUGAAGUUGCAUGUGGUCAGACAGCUAUAGUGAAUGGCACAGAGCAUGGGAAGGCAUGUAGUGAUCCCACAAAGUACAUUAGCUGGGAUGGAGUACAUUACACAGAUGCUGCAAAUGUCUGGUUAGCCAAAUCAAUUCUCAAUGGCUCUUUCUCAGACCCUCCAGUUCCUAUUGAACAAUCUUGCAGUCACUCAUCCACCUGAGUUUAACAAGAUGUGCUUUGGACCGCCACGAUUAUCCUGCAAUUUCCAAGAUUAGUCCUUUACAUAGAGCUACAUAUGUUAUAUUUGUCUACCACUGGGAUGCCAAUAAGAACUUCUCAAUCUUAUCUUUACUGUAUGAUCAUUUUAAUGUCAUCUGCUACUCCUUGUCUCAGUUGUAAUAUGGUUUUUGUUAUUAGAAAAAUAAGUACAUGGGACAUGAUCUGAAGCUAAUCUUUUACUGGUACUACAAUAAUUAUUACACUUCAAACUCGAGCAAGCUAAGAAGUCACACGCCAAAUUGCUACCUCCAACUAGCACAAGUACCAGGCAACUCUGUCCACCCAAGCUUGGACAGCUCACUCCGUCAUUCCUAGCAAGAUUGUGAAAGAAACUUGAAAACCUUGAAGUUCCAACAAGUCCACAACUUCCUACUUCAAAUGAUAACACUGAGAUGCAUAACGUCAUCAAUCAAACUAUAAGGUUAAUUUCAGUAACAAGUUCAUUGUUACUCGUUCAAGGUAAGGAGAAAGGACAUGUUCCCUUUUCUCCAGAACUCACAUAAGUAUAUACUCACGACUUUGAGCUAGUCAUAAUUUAUGAGAAAAAGUUUCCAGGUAAAGAAAAAAGGAAAUCUUGAACUUCAUGUAACUCCCUGUCUGCACAAUAUAUAUACUAAACUACUCUACCUCGACCAAUUUUAGAAUCUAUACACAUCCUAAAACUUUCAGCUCUUUUAACCACUUGGCGGUUGAAGGACUAUUGGAGCAUGCUUCAAAUAUGAAAGGUGAGUUGCUAGUAGUAUGCAUUAUGCAAUAGAACUCAUUUUCUCGUUUUGGUUUCUAUUGUAGGUGGCACUUGUGAGCUACCGCCACUGCCACCACCAAGAGCUGCUGCAGCAGACUCCACAUGAGUGAGAAGAUAUUCAUAGAUCUUUUUUCUUAUCCUAUCGAUGGUCUCAGAAGCAAUUUGGGGACUUUCAUCAUCCUUGCUAGAGGAGAUCUCAUCUAACCAGUCGUUCACACUCUUCAGCUGGGAUAACAUGCCGGCUAUUUGACCAUUAUCUGAUAAAGCUGAGGCAUCAACAUCAGCAUCCAAGAACCUUUCUACAAAUCCUAAGAACCAGUCUUGGGACGCUACUCGUAACAUCUCGGCUAAGUCAACAGCCUCUUCAAGACCGUCUCCUCUGACCCAAUCCGCUGGAGGAGGAGAUUUUGGCUUUUGAUUAGAAGCUAUCCCAUCUGCUAAGCGCCGUUGAGAUCCUGAUGACUGAAUCUUAGAACUCAUUGUCGGGCGGGGUUUGGCUUGAGGUUUUGCAAGAGUACUUUUGGUUGAGUUAUCAAGGACUAGCAUAGGUUGAUUGAGAGCGAUAGUCUUUGGGCUUGGCGAGGGAGCUGAAGGGGCAAUUGGAGAUGAAGUUGCUUUUUUGCUAUACACUGAGAAUGAUGACAGAUUGGUAGCCAACGCAGCAUUGACCCAUAGAGUUGCUUGCUUCCGUUUUUCUGAUACAGCCUUAAGUGCUUCUUCAGAAGGGUUUUCUUCAUGAUCUGAUUCUGAACCAGCAGCUGAUAUGGUCUUGGAUAAAGCAUCACCAACAAGGUGAACAUUCUUCAAACUCGCAUGCAGCGCCAAGAAUUGCUCAACAGCAGGCUGUGCGUUAUCUUCCUUUGCCGAGGAGCUCAACUCAGAAUAUGUGCUGAACAAUUGAAAUUGAACAAUCAGCAGUUGUAAAUUUGUGUAAUAAAAAAAAACUUCAGUUGAUGCACUGAUGAACAAACAAAUUGUAGAGAUACCACUGUUUGAAAGUUCAUAAUAACCCCUAAAACCGAACCAUGGUCCGGAGAUUCUGAAAGAUGUAUAUCCAAGUUAAUUUUUACCAGCCAAUAAUAGAAACACCAAUGUGGCACAGUACUGGCAAGAUAACUCAUGGCCGGGACAAUUCAAAAGGGAUAUCCAGGAUUGGAGUUAAAUGACUCUUCAGGGAUUGCUUAUAAAAAUAUCAGAUUUUAUGGUCAACUCUCAGGUGCAGGACAGAUUAGAAACGGGAAGGGUCCAAAGAUAGACCUACAAUAUCAAAAGAGGACAUGGCAAAUCUAUGAUCCAACGAGGAACUGAUUGACAAAUGGACAUGUAAGCUUAUAGGAAAUCAGAAACCCCCAUAUAAGUAAUUGGUUUCAUCUAGACAACAAUGUGUGAUGGCUGCCUUACUCAAGACAACCUUAGCCGAAGAAGCAUUAAGAAAGUGAUAGAUGCUAUAUGUGCCAGGAGGAAUCUGAGAGAGUGAGACAGUUGUUUCUACACUGUACAACAGCAGCUGACAUUUGGAGCAUAUUUUUAUCAGUCUUUGGACUUCGCUGGGUAUAGGAUGCUAAUGGAAAUCCAUCGAAAGAAUUGGCAAAUGAUGUCUGCUGCUAUAUUUUGGUGCAUCUGGAGUGCGAGGAAAUGUAGAUGCUUAGAGGGGAUUUCAACUCCUAAUCACACUCUUAAAGCUAAAUGUCUGAUCAAUUUAUUUAGUUGGUUCAAUCAGGCCCCUGUAACUAGUAUUGAAUUUUCUUUUGGAUAAUGUAUGCUCCUUAGUUCUUCAGUAAAAUUUGUAUAUAAGCAGAUACUCUUCUGUUGUAUAUUUUUGCUAUUCAUCUUCUUGAUGCCAUUUAAUGAAAUUAUCUUCAUAAAAAGAACUAAGAAAAAAAAAAAGAAAGAACCAUGAUCCACUAUUUGUGUAGGAUAGCAAAGUAAUCCUUAUUCGAUAUUAACCCAACACAUUGAUUUAACUUGCUAAUCAGUCUACCAUGAAUAAUUAGAAACAUAACUAGAAUAUUCUACAGAACUAUUCCUUUCUUUUUUUUCUUGAUGAAGUAAAUGAAUUUCAUCCAAAAGCAUCAAAAAGAUGCAGAGCAACCUGCACUCAAGGGUGUGGUCUAGUGGUCAAUGAGGUGGUUGAUAACCAAGAGAUAACACUAGAUGGUUUCUUGUCAUCUGUGUUAGCCUUGAUAGACUCAUCAGUUACCUGAUACCUCUUGUUGGUGGGAGGUGGCAAGCUAUGUUGCUCGGGCUCUUCAAAUCCGACACGGGUGUAACAUCGAAAUUGAAGAGUCGGUGCAGCUUGGGUGGCAAGUAGUCCAUGGAAUUAAUCGAGGAGCACAAAGCUGACCUGCCCACAUCCAGCUGAAACUUAAUCCCUUCUGGCACUUCUGCUGGAAAACCAACAUUAUUGGCUGGAAGGGCCCAUUGGUUGCUAGAAGGGAAUAUUUCUUCCUUUUUGUUAAAGAGUUACUGUAGUAGCAUUAAAAAGGUAUGGUCUGUAAUUUAUAGGUGGAAAAUGGGGCCGGCUGGAUUGCAUUUUUCCUUCCUUUCUUUUACCUUUUGCAGUAAUUCAGGUUGGAAAAAGAUCUAUUCAACAUUGUUAUCACAAAAGGUCCAAGAUGACUCGGUCAAGAAGCCCAUAACAAUGUGGAUUCCUUCUAACUUUAGAAAACAGACAUUACUCUAAUGACGAAAAACAUUCAAAGGCUGAAAAUCAAAUCAUAUUUAUCUCAUAUCAUUUUUCGCUAAAAUCUAUUCGUGUCAGAUUUCAAGCACCCUGAUUAAGAAAAUGCAAUUGCUAGCAUGAUCAAGAACUUUAUAGAUAUUAACUCCAACUUUUACCAUGUAAAAUUGAAAUUGAAGCAACAAUGAUCAAACCAGAAAACGUUACUGAAAAUUGCACGGCGGAAGAUCUUUGGGUGGUCACUUUUCUCAUUCAACAAGAAGAAAAUAUUGCUAUCCAAACAAACUAGUAAACAUUUUGGCUUCAUUAUAUGAGAGUAUAAAUCCAGUGAGACACAUUUCAACUGGCUGUCAUGUGAAGGAGCAGAGAGGAGUCUAGUCCCUGCCUCGGCUACCUCCUAUUCUUCUACCCAAAUUUUAAACCUUCAUACCUUCCUAUCUAGGGUUGUGUAGUUAUGCCAUUCCUUAUCUAAUUAACUCCCUCAUGUUCUUCUUCGGCCUAUCUCUAUCCCUCCUAACUUCUAUUAUAGUCAAUGUGUAACACCUCCUUACGGGUAAAUCCACACAAUUCCUCUUCACAUGACCGGACCAUGCUGGAGUACUGAAAAGUGAAGGAAGCCGAAGCAUCAGAACAUUAACUUUUCUUUUUAGGUGGGCAACAGGCGCCAACAGCAAAACUGGAACCAAAAUAGCCUACGAAAGAAUCAGUUCUAAGGCAGAAUUUUGUUCGCCUAACCUAAUCAAUCCUCCUAACCUUUUCAGUAGGCAUGUGGAGAGUCUUAUCUGCAAAUAUAUUCUGGCUCAUCCAGUUGCAUGUCAACCGUCCUGCUUAGAGUCGAUAUCCUAAACUGGAGGACUAGAAUCAUGCAUAUGAACAGAAGCUAUAAUCUAUUCCCGAAAAAGUAAGGUUGCUGAAUAGAUGAAAAUAAGCUAAGUUGAGGAUUAGCAGUGGUAGUCGUCUAACCAUAAUCAGAUACCUGACAGUCCCUUUCAGCAACUAGCCCCUCACCUAUAUGGUAUAUGACGGAACUGUUCAUUUGUUGUAUUUUAGGCAAGAAAUGGUAAAAUGAGAAAUUGACAGUGAACUACUCUUGUCCACAAGAGGGUAUAGGUAAUCGAAGCUGUUAUGUUACCAAUCUGAGGUCCAGCUUACCACCCGCAAACACUACCCAUAACAGGCAAUUAAACACAGCAUCGCGAUGAUAAGAUGAUCAUGAUUUUAACGCACAUAGUCCCAUUCAGCUAACUCCUGGUGCAAAUGCCACAUUGUUGAAUAUAGUGGUGCUUUUCACCCAUGCUAAGCUCAUCCAAAAAAGUCCCACAUUGGUAAAGGGAUGAAAAAUUGGUGUCUUUAUAUGGACUUGGACAAACCUCCCCUCAUGAGCUUAGCUUUUGGGGUAGAGUUAGGCCCAGGUGCCAACUCGAAUUUGUUGGCAACUGAUUAUACAGAAUUAAGCCACGUGUGGAGCCAUAUAUGAUAUAACCUAACUCUUUUGAUUAGUUUUUGGUGCAUCCACGAGGUCCGUUUUGAUUAGUUUUUGGUGCACCCACGAAGUCCCUUUUAAUUAGUUUUUGGUGCACUCACAAGCUCCCUGAUUGUGUAGAUUGUCUAUGGUAGAGAACCAUUUUUAGGUUUUAUACAACUUGUAUACAGGGUUUUCUCCCCACAGGCCACAACAUCGAUAUAUAUUACCUUAUCAACACACACAACAUGCUGCCUAGCUCAAGGGUCUAAACUUGAAGCAAAUAAACUGAUUUCAGCGCUUAAAAUUCACCUUUACAAUGCACUCAAAAAGAAGUACCUUAAAUCUCUACUUUCCAAAAUAAAAGGAAAAAAGAAGCAGGACUACCUUAGACAUCUUAGUAAGCUUUCAGAAGCCGAAGCCACCUGCAUAGCCUCAAUGGCUGCUACCUGUGCGGCGUCUCUGUGCUUCAUGACUUCCUAUAACAUAAAAUGGUAUUUUUCAGAGAUCAAAUAAGUAGUUCAAUCUCCGAUAAUAAACUUAAAAAAGAAAAAGGUAACAGUGUGAUAAUGCACUUUAAUGGCCCAAUAAGAUAAGAUUUCACAAGCAAAUACAUGGCUGCACAUGCCUACUCAAAAAUUAAAAAACCUUUAAACUACAGGACCAUCAGGUGACUAGAAAAAAUGGGAAAACAGAAAAUGCUUUUCAGAAAUCUGUAACUAAAGAGGAAAUAUACUAGGCAAACAUAACUCUGAGACCACAGCAUAUAAACAUGACAAGAACUGCAUUAACAUGGUUAGAACUGUCUUAAUUGCUACAGAAACCUCUGGGUAAGACAUGGUUAUAGAUGUAAUAUACACGAAUAACAUUUAAGGAGUGAACAGGAGAAGCCAUCAAGCUGUUAAGAAUGCAAGCACUUCAGAAUGGCAAACCUUUCCAAUCUUUGUGAGAGAAGAUGGGAGUGAAGACCAGGCAACAUUUCCAUCUGCUAAAAUUCUAUUACUGACAGCAACUUUGACCAAGUCUUGUAAGCCAUUAUUGACUUCCCCAGGUUGCUUUCUUCCCUUGGAUAUUUUCUGGUUACUUGAUUUAUCAGCAUCAACAGGCUCUCCAUUUGUGGACUUCUUUAAGGAUGUAUGAGCCUUAUUUUCCUCUUUGGAUGAUUUUGCAAGUAUUCCCCGGUUAUCUUCUUUACUAGUCAAUUUUUCACUAGUUGAUUUUCUUGGAACCUGCCAUCAAGGAAUUCACAUAGAGUAUCAAAAUCUAUUAAAUGCAUCAAGAAUCAAAUAAUUAAAUGACAAUUUAAGGUGGCGUGCUGCUUGCAGAAAACAAUCCUGCAAGAAUAUUGAUCAAAAUUUCACUUCAUUAAAAGCCAAUCAUAGCCUAUGCCCUGAAUCAUAAAAGGGAAAGUGGAUUUACAUUUUAAUCAGUUUAAACCAAUACCCCAACAGUUAGAAACAUUAUAUAACAAGGUAGGGUGAAAACAGAAUACUUACAGAAGUGCUCCUCGGUUCAGGCUUCAAAUCAUGCUUGUUGACCCUCAAUCUGGGACUCUCUCUACUCUUCAAAUCCAUAUUCCCUUCCCAGCUCUUCCUCAGGGCCUUAGGCUCCAAUUCGAGUCCUUGAAGAUAAUUCUUCAAUGGAUUCCCACCCAGCAGUCUCUUCGGUGUUGGACUCGCCCCACGAACAGAACUAGACUUCUCCACUCCAGGUUUAGUUGUUGCUUUCUCCAAACGUUCCAAGCCCUUAACCUUUGCUUGUAGCUUAACCCCAUUUGAAAACUUCUCGAAAGAAGUCGGUAAUGAAUAACAACUUGUAGGAGAUGUGGGUAUUGAUCUUGAGCUAGAAGAUGAUUUUACUCUCAUUAGAGAAUCCUUCUUCUCCACUACAUUUAAUGCUAACUUUGACAAGUGGGACUUCGACCAAGUCAAAGUAGGCUUCUUUUUUUCCACUUUUUCCUGUUUGGUACCACCAUUUGAUCUCGAAACUGCAGAUUUAUUAUCUUUCGCCGCCACAUGACUAUUACCUAAUGCUUUUGAAGGAGACUUAGUUUUGUCUCGCGAUUUUGAACCAGGAGACAGAUUACCAUUGUUAUUUAGGAAGCCUAAAGAAUGAGUUGCUACUAUAUCUUCGGGAGUUCCAACACAAGGGUGUCGUCCAGGGACGGGCCUAACCCCUCUAAGUAUAGGCACAGGUGAGGCAGCUUCAAGCCUCUCAACAUGAAUGAACUGACCCAAUUGAAUCUUAUCACUAAGAAUAAGAUCAUCAUGUUCAUCAGGCAAAGAUACAUAAGUAGCAUGAGAAGAAUCUGAUACCUUUAGGUAGAACCCUUGGUUAGGAAAAAGCUCCCCACCUGCUAAUGCAGGCACAAUGCUGACCACUUGCAACAGAGAUGACCUAUGCUCACCAGCAACUUUCACAUCUGUGUUCAUAUGCUGAAGAAGCUUCAAUAGAACACCAGGUACCAAAGUAGCCAUUCCCCAAAUCUUCAAUUAGCAUUACCAGAAAAGAUACCAAAUUGAAGAACUUUCAAGAUUUCACAAAGGAAAUCUAGCAAAGGGGCUUCUUUCUCUCUUUCUCCCAAUUUCCAGAUUAACAAAGAAAAAAAUUACAGCAAACAACUCUCACUCAAAAGAGGAAAAAGAUGGUUCUCCAAGAAGGGUUCAAUCAUACAAGUACAGUAAAAAUGAAAAUCCCACAAAACCACUCAAACAGAUCAAAAAAAUCAAACCUUUAUAACCCUAUUGAGAUUCACAGCCAAAGCACCUUUCUUUAGUUCAACAAAAACAUCCAACUUUCAUUGAUUCAAGAACUUGAUGCCAUUAGUGGUCAAGAGAAAGAGAAAGCCAGAAACCCCAAAAAUGAAUCAAGAAGAGGAAGGAACAAAAUGGGGGUUUGGCAUUUAUACAUUUAUUAGUAUUAAGUAAAAAAAACAAAGUAAUAAAAUAGUACAGUAGUCCAUAAAAAUAUAUAUUGAUGUAUUCUUGUACAGAAAGAGUAGAGAUGAGGAAAAAGGGUUCAGGGUUAGCAUUGAUUGCCUCAGUACAAAGUAAAAAAGGCAACUUUUUGAUUAGUUAAGUCACAAGUGUGAAGAUAAGGAGAGAGAGGGAGAAAACUUGAGAAGUGUCCAAAUUGAAAGUGGGCUUCUGAAUCUGAAGUGAAGGGUCCUCAAAAUGGGGUCUUUUUUAUGAGAUUAGUAUAAUGGAAAACACAACAAAAAUUGAUGCCAGAGAUGAAGAAAUCAUCAUUCAUCACAUGAUUGAUUCAUUCCAACUAUUCAAAUUGGUCCUGCUCUGCUGACAACAAAUUCAUUAAAUAUAAUAUUAAAAGAAUAGUACAAAAAUUUUGUUUAAGUUUUAUCCAUUGAUAAUGUUCUCUUCUCUUCUUUUCUUUUUUUUCACUUCCAAAGAAUAAUGCUUUUCUGUUGGAAUAGGUUUGUUUUUUCAGAGAAUAUGACAGAGCCCAAAAAAUUGGAGCUAAAGAGAAUCUAACAAGGACAUCUUUAAAUUUCACUCAUUUUUCUUCAUCAAGGUUUUUGUGUUUGUGUUUUGUAAUUAAAUAAAAUAAAAUAUUAUCUCAAAAAUAUUUAUUUUUAAUUUAGACUAACACGAUAAAAGAUGUGCGUGGAGAUGGUGGCAAUGGAAGCUAAGGUGAAGGAGUGUUUGGAGAUGUCAAAUAAGUCGAAUAUUACUUACGAAAUUUAUCUUUCCUAUUUUUAUCAAGGAAAAAAUAUUUCUCUUAAUUUUCGAAAAUUGUAACAACCAAACAUAAACAUACUUCAAUAUCAAACACAACAACCAAUUCAUGAUUCGUCCAAAUAAUUGAGAUUCAUAACAAAAUUCUCAUACAUCCUAAACAUCGUCGUUCACCAUUACCACCUAUAUAUACCACUCAUUGCUCUUAGCGCAAUUAAUAUGUAUCUCCCUUAUUCACAAUUCACGAUUAUUAAUAUUAAUUAUCAUAAUAAUCAUUCAUAACGAUCAUUUUAUUAAUCACCACUAUAUAUUAGAAUAUUACUUAUAUAUUACCAUUAUGAGUUAUCACUAUCACAAUUAUAUUAGUGGUAAAAUACUGUCCAUACAUCACUUUCAUUGAAGGAAAAAAAUUUAUAUUUAGAUAGAGAAUUUUUCAUAAAUGUAUAUGUAUAAUUGGGUAGGUCACAUAUAUUAUAGUAUUGGUUGAUUGUAUAGCAAAUGGGUGCAUGUGCUAAGGUCAUGCUAUUGUCGGUUUAUAAAACUGUUUUCAGUAGUUGGAGAUUCCAUAUAUACACUCACCUAAUUAGCUGGAACCUCUCUCUUUUAUAAGAGAUAUUUGAUUGGUCUUUCAAUUUAUAUAAUAUAAUUUCAUUAAAUUAAAUUUAAAACUAAAAAAAUUAUAAAAUUAGUAAUCUAAAAUAAGUUAUAAAUAUUUUUAUGAUUGUAAGUCAUUUUAUCAAAAAUAAAAUUGACAUUUUCAAGUUAUCAUUGUUGAACAGGAUAGAAAGAAAAAAUGAAUUUUAUUAAGUCAUAUAAAUUGAAUUUAACUGAGUAUUACUAAGAUAAAAAUAACUUGAAAGAAUAGUAUUAAAUGUUCAUUUCUCGAACUAGCAAAGUAAAAUAGAGAUAUCUUUAAAACUAAUAUAGAGUAUUUAAUAAGUAAAUUGAAAAUCACACAAGUCACACACUAGAUCUUGUUUGUUUUUUUUUUCCAAAUAUAUAAAGAUUAUUUGAUAUUUUUUUGGGUUGCGUGUACGCCUGCAAAUGGUGGGGGAGAAGAAAAUGGAAAAGGGAAGAUAUAAUAAAUUUUGUACCCACGUGGUGCAAGGUGGAAAAUGAGUUUUAAAUAUAUGCAUGUUUAGGUAAAGAAUAUAAAAAAAAUAAGAAAAAUUACGCGAUGAAAUAAAUUUUACUAUUUAAUUACUCAUCAUAACUAUAGUUAUAUAUUAAUUACGUGGGUUGAUUUUGAUUUGUAUAAUUAAUCACGUUUGUACAUGUAUAAUUCGCUAGAAUAUACAAAUGUAUAUGUAUAAUAUACAAUUAUUUAGCUUAUAUACAUAUAGAAUUCACCUAUUUCCUACUCUCUGUCCUCUAUCGCUCGUCUCUCUCCUCUCUCUCCCAAUCUUACUAGUUAUAUAUACAAAUGCAUAUGUAUAAUAUACAAUUAUAUACAUAUACAAUUCACCUCUCUCUCACUCUUUGCCCUCUCUCGCUCACCUCUCUCCUUCAUAGAACAUGUAGCUACGAAUUAUAGUUAUCAAACUAUAGUUGUGGAGAGUAAUUAGGUUAUUUUUAACUGGUUGUAUGUGAAAAUUCCCAAUACUCCAACUUGUCAUUUUUAUAUAUUGCAUCAGAUAAUCAAUUAAAUUUUUAAAAUUAAUAUAUGAAAUUUGUUUUUACAAUGAAAGUUAAUUUCUUAAUUUAUAAAAAAAAAUCUCAAAUGAAAUAAUUAUUUUUUUAAUCAUACUGGGAUAGACCUUUAAAAAAAAUGCCUCGUGCCUUUGUGGGGUUAUAAAUUAUAAUAUAAAUCAAAUGUUAAAGUUUAAAAAAACUGUAUGAAGUACUUCUCUUGAAUGCCAUAAUGGAAAAAUAUAUCUCUACAAAUCUACCCUAAUUCUUUAGCCAUGUGUUAGUUAGCUAUAUUUCUAUAGGGUAGUUAUAUUGUUUUUGUUGCAUUAAUAUAAAAAAAUUAAUUCUUGUAGAAAAAUAUGGUAAACAAAUCAAGGUUAGUUAUAGGAGUUAAUAACAAAUAAAAUUGCUAUACUUUUUUUCUAAUAUAAUAGUGGUGAAUUUGUUUUCGUAUAAGAUACACGAUAAUUUUUUAAAUAAUAGAUAUUAUUUGUUCUUGAAACUAAUAAGCGCAUCGCUAAAUACUUGUGAUAUCCAAACAAAUUCUUUAACUACUUACUUUUUCAAACCAAACAACACCUGAUUACCUAGGAACUUUUUAUAAUAUUUAGACAAAAUUCGAUAAAAUCUAUCAGAGUAUUGAUCAAGUUGAUAUAAUAGGCGAUCUCAUAAAAUUGAAGGUUUAAAGUUUUAAACUACCUGUUUUCUUUUUUGAUUGAGCUUAUUGCAUCAAAUUUAUUCAGUAAAAAUUACUUUUAUUUAUCAUACAUAAACUUAAAAAUAAUAACAAUAAAUUACUUCGUCAAAAUAAAAAAUUUGAUCGUUUGACUAAAGGAGUAAGAAUAUUAUAUGUUGAUAACGAAAGACGUUUGCAAUAUUAAUUAUUAAUUACAUGAAUUAAUAAUAAUCACAUGCACUUUUUUUUUGACUUUUUCAUUGCCGUUGGCUUAAUUAAUGUUUGCAAAGAAUGUCAUAUGGCAUUAUAGCUUAGCUGCCUUGUAGCAAAAGUUUUUGUAUCACUAAUUAAAGCUUUUUACUCAUAUAUACUAUGGGACCAUAUGUAUUUUUAAGUAUUUAAAACUUACAUUAAAUUUUUUAUACAAAAAAUGUGAAAGUAGACAUUAACUCAAGUAUUUAUGAUAACUACAUCGCAAUUAUUACCUCUAAAUAUUUUUGUGAGGAAAACUUAUUAUCAUUAAACGUCAUACAAGUUGUAUUUAUGAUGAUGACAUAAAUCAGUAAUAAUGACGUAGUUGCAAUAAAAUUAAAUUAGAAAAUUUUGGCAAGUGUUUAAAUUUUAAUUGCUUUGAUAGAUCAAACUUAAACUUCAAAAAAAAAAAAUAAGGACAGGACUUUAUAAAUACUUAUACAAAUUUUUUGUUGUCAAAUCAGAACGUUGUUAAUUUGUUACUAUCAAAGAAACAUUAAGGCCAUAUAAUAUAUUUUUUUGGUAAAACAUUAAGGCCAUAUUAUUAUAAAUAAAUCCUUACGUAAAUAGCAAUAGAAUAUAUUUUGUCUCUCAUAUAUCUCCAAAAAAAUUGAGCUCUUAAUUAUAUUCAAGAAAUCAAUUACCAAUUUUUAACAUUUAGCUUUGGUGGUUAAUUAGUCCCUAUCUAUAUGUACGUUGCGAUUACAAUUAUUAAUUGAAAUAUUUGGUAUUGACUAGAAAACAAUUACAUGAUAACCAUGUGAUAAUUGAGAAUUACACUAAUCUUUUUAUAAUGUUUAGACCUAGAUUUAUUUUAAUGAUCGAAGCAUCGAGCAACAUGAAUUGUGAUAACUGAACAUACACAUAAUCGAUCUUAAUUUAUUUGGAAUUGAUCAAUUUAAUUAUUUUUAUUACCAAUUCUCUCAGAUUUAUUAAACUAUUAACUCGUGAAUUCGCAUGUAAUAUUUCAAAAAGUAUAUCUCGAUUCUCGAUGCGAUUUAAAAUAUUGAUAAGGUUCUAAAUUUGUGUUCCUUUAUAAUUAAGUGUACUAAAAAAACAUUUUUAGAUCACCUAAUUAUGGUGGACCCUAAGGAUUAGAGGCAAUUUAAGUUAAUAUCUACAGGUGGAGUUGAUGGCAAGUGACCUAAUGAUAUUUUACCUGCUUUAAAAAAAGGUCUUUAACUCAUAAUUAUAUUUUAUUAGGCAAAAUAAAGAAUAAAGUACUUAGUGAAGUUAAUUAAUUAAAUUUGAGAAGUUGUUGUACCAAUGAUUAGCGUAAAGUUAGUUAAGAUUUAAGCAUGAAGCUUCUUCAUCUUUUUGCCUUUACUAAUUAUGAUUAGUAGCAUAUCUCAAAGCUAAAAAAGUCCAUUAUAUUUGGUAAGAAAUUAAGUAAAGCAAGAAUAUUAUUCAUGUUAACGACAUGCUUUCAUUAAAAAAAUAAUAAAGUAGUUUAUACAUUUAAUUUGUAUUAUAAAAAAAUGCAAUUAUUCACCCAUUAUAAUAACAAGUUCAUUAUUAUUUUUAUCAUAUUACUAAUUAAUAUUUAGUAGAAAAAAUUACAUUUAAUUUUUCAUGAUUGGUUCGUAAAAAUGUAUUUCUAGGAAUGACUCGUGAUCUACGAAUAGAGAAAGUAAAAUUCAUCAGCGAUUGUCUCCUUCACUCUGAUCCAGCAACACACGACCACACCCUACCCUCUCCACGCCCCCCAACCCCCCAACCCCUUCCAAUCUACCUCUCUCCAUCCCGUCAUAUCUUACCUCAAUAAUAUUUAUGAAAAAUAGAUUAAAAAUAUUUUUUGGAUGAUGUUUUUUAUUUGUUUGUCAAAAAUUAAAUAAUAAGUUAAAAAAAAAAUCUUUGAUUUUAAUUUAUUCCAACUUAAUCUUAAAUACAGAUCAUGAGAGUGCAUUAUGUGUGCUUUAUUUCUGGAUGACAUUAUUGUCAAAAGACUUAAAAAUAUUCCCUUCUAAAAUUUUACUUUUAAAAAACAUGGAUUAUCCUAAAUUUUCAAUACUAUCUAGAAAAACAUGCCACCAUGAAAUACAAGGGAAAAAAAAUAAUCUAAAACCAAGAAUUAGAUUCCAAACAGAAAUUUAACUUCUUGAACAUAUUCUUUUAGAAAAAUAAAUUAGAUAAUCGAGUUUUUAUUUACGUUUAAAGACAGGAAAAUGGAGAAUGGAGUGGAAAUUAAUUACGAAGAAAUCUUCAUCUUAUUAAAUAAUCAACCAAUUAAGCAACUAUUUUCGAAAAGAUUAUAAUGUCAUAUUGAGAGUAGAAUUUUGAACGUUGGUCCUCAUGUAGCCUCAACAAAUAACAAUUGAUAAUGACAAUUGAAAAUUUUUGGACCCUCAUAUCAUUAAUGCUCAUACUAAAGGGGUGAGAUAUAUAACUCCACCGACUAAUAUGCUACCUAAUUUUUGUCACUAUUUUAGCAACUUUCAUGGAUAUUUUUAAAAAUAUAUAUAUUCACUCAAAAAAUAAAUAAAUAGUAAUGGUAAUAUAGAAGGGAAAAGAAACUUGCUAUUUUUUUCAGUAAUAGUUUUACUUUCUUAAGAUUUAAUUAUUUCUUUUCGUUUUAUAUUAGAUUGAUAUUUUAUAUUUUACAGUGUGAUUAAAAAGUUAUUAAUAAAUUCAUAACCAACUUUAUUAUUUGUUCAUUGUUCAUAAUUUCGACAUUUGCUUCCGAUAAAUUAAUAGUAAAUUUUUGACAUCAUUUUUUAAAAAAUGUACAGUACUUUUCAUCGUUUGAAUAUGAAGAAAAUCACUAUUUACAAUAAUUUCAUCUGUUUCAUGCACGUUCUAUUUUAAUACGUAAUCUAAAUGUUUUCUAACAAGCUAUAGAUUGUCGCCUAAUAUAUAGCUAGAUCAACGUGACUUAUGGUAGAAUAAUUGAACAAGAAAUCUCAGUUUUGAGCUCUUGAAAAAGAAAAAAAUCCUCUUGAAAGUGUGACUUUACAAAUAAUUCUAUAACCUAGUAAUGCACGAAUUUAAAUUAAUCAGACUCUAAUAAAAAUACUGAUAAAAAAAAAUUAGAUUGCUAUAUUCAUUUUCACCAUCUUAAUUAUAUUUCAAUUACUUUCCUUUUCUUGUCAUCAAAUGGUGAGAGAGAGUCCAUACAAAGACAUUCGAAAUAAAAUUAAAACGAGCUUAAGUUAUCAGAAAAAAAUAAAUCUAAAGUAGUAAAUUCUUAGGGCCCCAAAAAAUGACUUUGCUUAUAUCAAUAAAUAAUAUAAUAUAAAGUUGGAAAGCUACCAAUCACCCUUCAUUUAUGGAACAAUCGAUGAAAUACUUUUUUAGAGCCCCAAAAAUCAUUUGUUUUUGUUUUUAUAAAAUAGAUACUAAUAUUAUUUUUAUUAAUACAAAUACCAUGUUUGGCUAAACUUUUAAUUCAUAAAAAACAUUAAUUUACACAAAAAGGAAGAUAAAGAGUUGUUUGUGUAUUUUUUUUUAUUUGGAGAAAAUAAGUAUUUUUUGUUAGGUUGAGUAUCAAAUUCUAUUUUUCAAAGCUUAAAUAUUAUUUUUUCUCCAAAAUAGACUUAGAAGACUUUUUAAAAAGUUUGGACAAAUACUAUUUAUUGUUCAAAAAUAUUUUUUUAAAAUUUAUGAUCGACCACAAAUUAGUUUUUUACAAAAGAAAAAGGAAUCAUUUUCAGUAAACUAGAAGGCGCAAAUCACUUGAAUUGGAGUUUGUGUCAGGUAUAUUUUAUAUAGAGAAGUAUUAAAAAUAUUUUAAAUUUGGCGUGAAUUAUUAAUUUAAUUUCUAAAUAGCUUUAAAAAUAUUCCUUUACUAAAUACGUCCUCAAUCUUGUAACAGAAUGAAAUAUAUCCCUAGAUUCUUGUCAAGUUUAGGAGUGUUUUCAACACUUCUCUUGACUAUUUAUUAAGAGACUCAUGCUCACACAAGAGUUUGAGACUACUUAGUAUAUUAUACAGCGUAUCAGGAAUGUACCUAAGUUUAGUUAAUCAAGUUAAAAAUUAUUUCUAAGAUUGUCAAUAGUUUGAAAAAAAAUAAUAAUUUACAUCAAAUUUAAAGGUAUUUUCAAUACUUCUCUCUUAUUUAUAGUCCUUUCAUAAAUGUUUAUCCCUAAGACCUCUUCAACAACGGAUUUUUUUUAUAUAUAUAUAUAAAUAUACUAAAAUUUUGAUACUUUUACAAGUACAUAAAAAUAUUAAAAAUUGAACUCAUCAAAUUUAAACAACGAAUAUAAUCCAUCCCUAGCUAAUUAGCUUUUCUUGCUGUCACAUACGAUAAAAAUCAUUGGUUAGUUAUUUUUUUUUUAAAAAAAAAAUCAUAAGAUAGUUUGAUACGAAAGUUUUCCUCCCCAAAAAGGUUAUCUUUGAUGUAAAAUAUUUUACAUCCAAGUAGAUGGAAGAUAAAAGUAAAACUACUCAAACAAAACUAUAUAUGACAAAUGGGAUAAAGAUUAACAAAUACAAAAGUAUAGAAUAAGCUUGAUUAUUAAUUUAGAGACUUGCGAUGUAAAAAAAAAAAACCUUUGUCAUCUCCUUUAUCAUUUAAAAGUAAAGAAAUACACAAACAUGUGGAUGAACAAGAAUGUAAAAUAAAUAUUUUCGUUAGAUAGUUUUUCCUAACAAUCAUAUCCUUUUUUGUUAAAAUGAUCGUGAGAAAAAAGAAUAUCAGGAAGCUCACUCUCGACUGGGCUCUAAGCUUUAUUGAUUCUAUUUUUGUUUAUGAAAGUAACAAAUUGAGCACUAAGCCAAAAAUACAUUGAAUCACUAGUAUGUAUGGGGACAUAACUUAGUGAAUGGCAAAAAUGAAUGAUCAUUUCAAGAAGUAUUUGGUUCAUUGUCCUUGUCUUGAUGUUGAUGGUUCCAUUUUAGGUUCAUCUUAUAAAUUUAUAUUUUAUAUUAUGAUUAUGAUUGAUGGCCUUUCUUGGACAGAGACUUGUAUGAAUGAGAAUUGAAGUUUUAGCUUGUGGGUUUUCCCAAGUAAACGUAUUACAAUUUAGAUCAAAUAAUUUUCUUUUCCAAAACUAUCACUAUCUCAAUAUACCAAAAUUAUUUUCUUUAUGGUCAAAACAAUGAGUGGUUAACUUCUACCAGAAUAACUUUUUUUUUUUCUGCAAUGAUUAUCCAAUAUGUAGUUGGGACAUCAAAAGGGAAUGCAAUUUCAAAUGCUAAUUUACGUCAUUAUGAUCUAAUAAAAGACAGAACGAGCCGAUGCUUAUUCCCCAGAUACCAUCAUUUUCUGCAGAAAAAAAGAAGUUUACGACCCACAGGCCUUCUACCUCCACACAGCUUUGUAUAUUUUCAAAUAUAGUUGAACUUGAUCAAAUAAAUACUUCGCAAACUCUUUAACAAACUGAUAUGCUAACUCCUGAGUUCAGUUCAAUCUUUACUUUUGGACAAAGGCCCAGCCAAUUGUGUGUCUCAUAUUGCAAUAGUGGCCUGUCAAGUUAAGAAGCCCAACCCAAGAUCAAUGAUCCCUUCACCCAAGGAGAGAAACCAAUUUUCAUCCCUGACCAUGAACUAGACCGGUACCGGGAGAGUUGAGUAUGAUAUAAAAGUGAAAAUGGGGUGGGGUUUAAGCCAACUCACUCACACCUCGACUAAUUAGAUGGAAUCCCACUAGAUAUUGGGUAAUUCUGGGACAUAUGUGAAGAAAUCACCUAAUAUUAGACGUCAUAGUUGUUCUCAACACACUACAUAUGUCUAAUGGAUUUCCACACUAGGAAGAAAUGGAUGUAGCCUCACUAAUAAUGGACAAACUUAUUUCUAUAAGAGUAACUAUAUUCAACAAUAGACAAAAUGAGUCACUUGAAGGAUGGACUGCUCGAUUGUAUUGUUAUGGGUGAAUACUAUAAUUCAACCAUCUCUGUCAAGCUCUGAAUACAGCUAGUAUAGCCACUAUAAGUUCAUAGAAAUCAGCUGAACGAUAACAAAAGAAAAGGCACAUGGUCAUGCUUAAAAAGCAAGCUCUCUACAUAUUUGUGAGGAGAAAAACAAAGCAAACAAAUUUGCUACAGCAUACAAACAUGUCAUUUCACUAGUUUUCUUGCUCACCAGGGCGCCGAUAUGGCAAGAAUCUGUGGUCUUUCGCAGCAUUCUUGCGCCUUUUCUUCUCAAUAUAUGAUUCCAGUUUGCCAGCUUCUUUGAGUGACUUGUAUUUCUCAAUAAGUUUGAGUUUCUGAAUUUCAGAUUUUUUGAGAUAAUAAGGUCGUUUUCCUUGCUUAGCAGCUUCCCUCUCUUUCUUCUUGUGCUCUGCCAGAAUCUCUUUCUCAGUGUGCUUCACUCCUGCCGAUUUCAAUUGUUUGUCAAUCCAAGAAACACGACUUUUCAGUUCAUUUCUCUCUUCUGGGUCAUUUGAUUUCCUCAUCUGUUUCUUCAGAUCCUCUUUUUCUGCUGGAAGAUUAUCCUCAUAAAGGAAAUUGUAUCUCUUUUUGAACCCUUCUUCAUCUACCUGGCCAUUUAAAGACUCAAAGCGAGGGUCACGAGUGGCCCUUUUAGGAACUUGGAUUAUUUCCCUAAAUCGGCUUACUGGUUUUUUGCUACUCAUUUCCAUUGGCCUGUUCUUGUUAGCUCGGCUACUUUUUCCUUCCGAAUUAAGCUUCCUAUACACUGUAGCUGAUCCAUCAGACCGUGCUCUCUGCAAUUCUUCAAAGGUCACAUCAGCAAGCUCCUCCUCAAUCCCCUUCUCCUCCUCAUCUUCAGAUGAAGAUUCAUGUUCAUCAGAGUCAUCGAAUCUUAUUUUACUUGAACUUGCAACAGCUGGCCUAUCUUUCCUCAUCUCAACAAUUUGAUUUCACUAGAGUAUAAGAAGUUGAGAACUUUGCUGUACAAAGAUUGGCAGGAGUAAGGAAGAACCCCAACAAUAGUAGCAUAUAACACAACCCAAUAGUUAAAACAGAAGAAUACUAACUAGCCGGCAUACAAAAAAAGCCAAUGCCAACUUAGCAAGACCAAAAUGCAAGUAAACACUCAGUUUAAGUCAAAUGGUUUCUUCAUUGACAACAAAGGUUCUAGAUCAAACUCACAUUACAUCGUGACAGCUCGACUUAUCCAUCAAGCAGCCUGCUACCUCAAACAAGCACAAAUCCCCGGUCUAAGCCUACCACCAGAUUUUGAUCACUUGUAACUAGUAUAGGAUGUGCGCGUAACAUCUCCAUGUUUCACUAAGCACGUCCCCUACUCCCACGGACUUUCAGUCAAUUAAUUCAACAGCUUGCAUUCAUUUAAAAGGGGCAAAGCUCCAAUCUUCCAAAGAGAAAUUGAAAAAAGACAACACAAUAUGUCUUCCCGAACAUGACAUUCUAUUUUACUACAUACAUCAACUCAUAAAGGCCUACAUACAUCAAAACCUAGAAAGGUCUAGCACUCAUCUUGCUAAGUUCACUAAUAUAAAUAACCUGUAAAAGCAAAAGGCAAUAAAAAACAAUUCAUUUUCGACAAACUUCUCCUUAUUCCUACUUUACACAUUGAAUUGCGAUAUUCAAACAAUUUAACAGAAUUACAUACAUAUAUACAUAUAUACAUACAUACACGUGCAGAGCAAAACCAAACUGGGUAAGCUUUCACAAGAAAGCAAGUCGCACAAACAGAUCCAACAAAAACGAAGUUACAUCAAUACAAUCGCUGAUUUUUUUUUUUAAAAAAAAUAAACAGGAGAAAUUCUCGCCAACAAACAGACUAAACAUGGCAGAAUUCAUUAAAUAGAAAUUGACCUAACUAUAACCUCGUUUGAAACACAAAAAUACAUGAAUUUCACAGUGAAGUCACCCAAAUUAGCAACAAAACCUAAGUAUAUAAUCGAAUAUAUGGCAAAAGAGAUUAAAGAGUUAGAAAUUGUUUGGUACCUUCAAGCUGCAGCGGAGCAAUAGGGAACCUUCAGUUCAGCGUGUGUUUUCGAGUUAUUAGGGUAUUCUCCUGUAACUUGUCUCGGCCCAAAGCACCAGAAAAUAAAAUAAAAAAGUUUCGAACAAAUAACAAAAAUCACAUACUUAUCAUUUGUAAUUUAUAAGUUUAUAAUUACAGAAAUUUCUCUUACUAAUACAGUAAUAUCUCGAAUUUAAAGUUCAGGGUGUAUGGACUAUGGAGUUGCUUUGUUAGAAAGAAUGUUAUACUUUUUUCGGUACGAACUCAAAUUUAAUCAAGUUAUAAUAUGGAAAUUAAACACCCUUUUAAUUAACUUAUUUUUUUUGCCAAAAUAGUUUUAAGUAAUUUUUUAGUGUUAGACUUUGAAUAAGAUGAUAAAGAGAUUUAAUUUCAGACAUGUUAAUUCUUACCAAGUUUUCUCAAAUUUUAUGUGUCAAGUAACACAAACAAUUUUUUUGCUAUUAUAAAUUUGAGAUAAAUUAUAAAUUUGAGAUAAUUCCUCUUUUCUCUAUCUUGAACUAUUUGUGGAGUGUUAAAUGUUUCUUUAUUUAGGUGGUAAUCUAUUGGUAACUAAGCAUAAGUGAAAUGUCUAAUGUUAUAAGAAAUGAGAACAGAAGGGAAUGAUACAUAUAAUUACAGCAUAAUCCAAAGGUUCAAAUAAACUGAUAUAUUUUUUAAAUUUUUUUUUUAUGAUCAAACGCGUAUUGUAUCUUCUACUAUUCAGUGCCUCCAUCCCUUUGAAUGGCCAUCCUCCAUAUAGGGCUCAAGGAAACCAAUAAACUGCAAAUCCAAUGGAAAUUUCUUAGUCUCCCCCAGCUAGUUUUUGAAAUAAACAAACCUUACUUUUCAUUGAUAAGUGAUCAGAAACCUUGUAAGAAUUAUGUUAUAUGAUAUAUAAACUUUCAUGAAUGGUGAAAAGGAACCUCAGCUCAGCACUAAUCAGAGUAUAUGUACCUUACUUCCAUCUUUAGACCACCGUGCACCGUAACCAUUAGCAACUCUAAUCUCAAAAACAACACCAUGUGGUGGAACAAUAUGAAUAUUCAUCCAGCAGGAACACGUUAUUAAGUUCCUGAUGACAUCCAGGGCAUUCCUAUUUUUAUCAGAAUCUGGAAAGUGAAAAACACGAGACAGUAGCACAUGAAUCGUUGGUAUCAUGCAGCAGGUGAUAACAGGAAUUGCUUUCCAGAAGUAACAAUGUACUCGUAAAAGAAGAAAAAUAACAGGCACAACUCAAGCAUUAGAACCUCACAUGCAAAUCAAGGAUGUUCAUGUUGAAGAGCUCUGAAGUGAGGAACUAACCACUUCCAGAAAAACUACCCCAGUAUUUGUCACUGCUCCUGUUGACGUGCUUUGACAAUGCCCUCGCUCCAUCAGUCAAUGUACAACCUUUAGCCUGUUGCAGAAACUAGAUACCUCAGGAUUACUCUAAUAUGUAAAAUAACCUGCACCAGAGAUUUUUCUCUUCCUACUUUCUUGUUCUCCUACUUUUAAUAGUUCAACAUGUCAUCCACUGUCCACCUUACCCAUCUUGUUAAGACAAAUAGUAACAGAAUGGAGAAGAAAUGGUAUUGCUUUACAUAGGAUGGACAUUAAUAAGGAGCAUGAACCUGCUUUAGUAAAACAGUCCAACUCCUGUCACCUGUUUUGAUCAAGUGGACAUUUGAAGUUCUAUCUACUUCUUGGUGUCCUACUGACGUACAACAAGGCAAGCGGAAGAGCUUGCUUUUAUUAGCCAAGAAAUGUGGCAAAGAGGUUGAUGGAGCUUCAGACGCAACGCGAUACAGUUCUCUCUUCUUUCUCAUCUUACUGUCAUCUCAAUUUACUUCUAUUAAAAAAAUGUCAUCUCAAUAAUCCUUUACUUUCAAUAAUCAUAAUAACUAUAAAAACAGCUUAUUCACAACAAAGUAGAAGUUUGUCCGAGAGUAUUUCACAAGGAGAAAACCAACAUAGUUUCAUACAUUUGGAUUAUGUGGCAACAGAAAUGAUGAGAUUAGAGAAGAUGUUGGCGGUGGAAGUGCCUCAGAAACUGUUCCAGCUGUAUAUAUGAAUCCUAAAAGCCUCUGAACACCAGCAUAGCUCAGUUCCUGAACGAAAUUAGACUCUGAAUUAGGACUUGACAAACAUCUUUCUAUCUCUAUAUGCACCUGAAACAAUAUAUGAAACUUAGUAGUCUUAACACAGACGUUAAAAUUUGGAUUUGAUCUCAAAGCAGCUAUGCUAAGGGCAAACUAAUGCACGACUAAAGCACAUACACUUGUAGGAGGACAAGUGUGUUAACGAUAAUUGAAGUUAAAAUUUGUGCUUGAUCCCAAAGCAGCUAUACCUAGGGCAUCUCAUGCAAUAUCAAAGCACAUACAGUUGUAGGGACAUGCGAGUCAAUAAGAAGCAUGUUUUUGACAAAAAUAUCUGAAAGAAUCAUUUCUAACUUACAGGAGAACACAACUUCAAUGAUAGCAUUAUGUCAUUUUGACAUGAUCUAAAUUUUACACCUUCAAUGUCAAGAUAAGUAGAGCUAAAAGCAUACUCACGGAUAGCAUGGAACUCAGAUCGAUGGAAGGCUGAGAAACCAGCUUCUUAACACUGAUAGCAAGAACACCAUUUGACCUUUCUUUCUCUUCUGAGUAAAAUUUCCGGUAAACUUGGACACCUGAAAUUGUCAUGUUUAUACAACUUAGCUUGCAUAUAAGGAACAUUUAUCAUAAAAAAUUACGAAUUGGUUAUUCAUUUUACUAAUUACCAAGUAUUGAAAAGUUAGUUACUAGCAGAAAGCAACAAAGUCCAGUAUACAAUUAGCCUCACCUUCAGUUCCUCCAUAUUUACAAAUAAAAAUGGAUCUACCAAGCAGUACCAACUUACAGAAAACAAGAGAAAUCAGGGCUUUCACCUCACAUAUCAGUUAUCACUUGAACAUAUUGCUUUACACUUGCAAGAUUUUAGAGCAAAUAAGGUCUCAAAUGGUCCAAUUAUAUUACAGUUUCUCUGAUAGCCUUCAAGAAACCAACUAUAACUUGGCUUUAAAAAUAUGAUUGCAAAUAGCUCAAUAAGAAACCAAACUAGGAAUACCGUAGUUACUUAACAAUAAUUCUAUUUUUGGACUCUCAAGUUUUGUGUUCUUCACAUCAUUAAAAUGAUGAGCAUCAGAUGUGAGGUGAAAAGAAUAACAAGAUUGAGAACGGAAGCUGGGAUUUUCAAGAUAGGGAUGAGCAACCAUAAGAUAUUUGUUAACAUAUCCAUAAGAUAAAUGAUGAUCUUACAGAAGAUACUACUCUUAGAUUCAAACAUAAGAUAUUUGUAAGCCUAUCCAUAAGUUAAUGGUCUUCCAAACAUAUUAAAAAGUCCCUACAAUCAUGGAAGGUAUGGAGUGAGAAGUAACAUCCUCUCUAUCAUACAGUAAGAAAUUUCCACCUUCUUCAGUGGUAUCCACUCCAGGAAGAACUUCUUUAAGACUCUCUGCUUCUAACAUCUCACGAAAUGAAUGAUAAUGACGGACAUCCUGCAAAUGGACAUUUUAUUCAGUUAACUAUAAGAUGUACCAAAGUGAUACAUAAAAAGAAAAUAAAUGUACAUGAUGAAUGCACCUGAACUUGAAGAACUAAACAUUUGUUGAUGAGGAUCAAAGCACCAGAUUCAAUUCUAACAUCCAAAAAAGACUUCAUCUGAGAGAGGAAAAGAGAAGAAAAUAUUCUUGUAGAUGAUCAUGUAUCAAAGAUGCUUCCUGCCAUUUUUAAGCAAGUCCUUUUAGAAUGAAAGGAUAUUUCUUGUAGUUGAAUCGCGAGGGUUUUGGUUUCAACACAUUUGAAGAUAAACCUGAACUAACUUUUCAGCACUGUACUAAAAGUGGUUAUAUCAUGAAAUGCAAUCUCAAAAAGUUAUGAGAGAAAUAAAGUGAGAUACUAGCAAACACGUUAAACAAAAACUACUAACAAAGAAGGUCCCCAUGAUCUAAAACAUUAGAGAUGGGAAUUCUUCUUGUGAUGGAAACAUUGAUAAGGGUCGAAAUAAACAACCAUACAUGACUCUUUGGGCAUCCUCUUUAGGGCAUCCAAAUUAUCAUACGACACAGAAAAUCAAGUUUUAACCAACUACAGUUUUAGAAACCAAAAGGUAUUCUAAGGAUAGUAUUUUGGCACUUGACUUGAUUGAGUGGAUUUAUUAAGGCUGCCACACAAACUUAACUGAUUAGAGACCUUGAGAAUUAGCAUUAAGCACAACAUGUUUAAUGAGGAGACGGCAGAAGCAGUCAAUAUAGUAAGCAAAAUGCAUACAAGUCAUUAUGAAGUCAUACUUAUUGUAGUGUCCAACAGCACACCUUCCUUCAACUGUUUUCUGUCCAUCUGCAAAUAAUUUCGAACACUUAAUAAAGAAUUCCACUAUGACAGCAAAGGUGAAAAUGCAUUAAAAUCUAAAGGAAAUAUAAAUCUAUGACAAGGUGGAAAUUAAUUUUGCUAGGGGAAAGCAAUAUAUCCAGAUAUUUAUACUUCUAAGCAGGGAGAAGUAAGGCUCCUGAACAUGGAGUUCAAAGUCCACAGAUUUUAGCACCUGUAGUUAGCAACACCCAAUAUAUAUUACUUCGGGUUGAUGUAUGUGAAACUGAAUCAAAAGGAAGAAACACUAUAACAUGUUUAACUUACAUCGAGCAAAUGAGAACCUUUUUCCCUAAUCAAACUAGCCCACUCUUCUUCCUUUUGUUUCAAAGAACUAGUUUCUUGCAUUACAGCAAGUUUGUUUUCUGUCCUUGGCAAGGCUUCAGAAGAAAAAGCUUCAAAUAAGGAUGCUGCAAGGCGCUUGUAUAAAGGAUAUAACGGAACUCCUUCAGAAGGACCUGUCAUAUACAGGAAGCACAAGAUAAAGAAAAUUAUCAAACUUGAUAGAGGGUCAAGUAUCCAAACUCUGGAAUAAGUAGUACUAAUGAGAAUCUUUAAUCUUUUACAAAGAAAAGAUAGACAAUUCUCAUUGGAUUAAUCAGCACCUACUCUCCAAACUCCUGUUCCAGGGAAGGGAGUAACAGCCCUUCUUUCUAUAUAAAAGCAAAAGAUCCGUAUAGACAAUACCAACUAUUUGGGAUUAAACUAGUUAUUCGUGUUUGAACUAUAAACUUGGAGGACUCUUUUUAUGUUUGGUGUCAAGUUUUCAUGACUAAGCUAAACCAACUCCUUAAGUCAUGGCAACAUUUAGCCCAAAAAAUACAAAAAGUAAGUGUAAAUUAUACAUUUGCUUUAUACUUCCAUUGUAUGCCAUUAAUCUUUUAAUGGCAAGGUUAAUCACAAUGAAUUAAUCAAAUGUUAAGGAUCAAGCACUUCCUUGAGCCAAGUACCUAUCAAAAACAUCCUCUUUACCUCUAGGUAGGCAGGGGCAGAAAAUUUCAUUAUUUACACAUAGUUAAAAUUAUAUUUUAUGUAUAUAUAUCUAUAACAGAUGUUGAACCAUUCAACUUCUUUAUAUAUUUACUUCUUUGUAUUUUGAACCCUUUAAUGAAAAUCCUUGGAGGUAAGGUAAGCCUCUGUACACUCUAUUCUCGUCAAAUCUCACUUGUUAAGGAUCAAGUGCUUGUUUUACAAAAAAUACGAAAAGUUGCAUAGCAAAUGGGCUACUUUUAGUUCAGUUGCUCCAAAUAGUUGAUACCACAAAAGAGGGUGAGAAGUAAGAGUUACCAGUACAAUUGGGAAAAAAGUCGGAGGGAUCUUCUUGUAAGAGGGUGGAGCAGUAGUCUUUAGAGAGAUCUAAGUCAAUUUCAAAAGUGCCGUCAAUGGAGGAAACAAGUGUGAAUCUCAGCAGCUCUUCUAUGCAGUCCUUCAGUUGCAGUGACGCUCCAAAUCCCGGAGAUGCUGGCUGAGAUUCCAUUUUCAUCGACAUGGAUCUUUAUUGACUCAAUUCCCCCAUGCGUUCAUAUGUUCCUGUGACCGGCCCUUUAUUUUUUCCGGUGUCUGUUUGUAUCGACUUAUUUUAACUGUUCUUAAAUCAAUAACAAUUUUAAAGUGUUUUUGUAAAGUUAAACUUAUUUUAAAGUCCAAAGCCAUAGGUUAGAACUUCUAACUCGUGACUUUUUGGUUAUAAGUCAAAAGUUAAUUUAGACAGACCCUUAAAAAAUUAUUAUGAUUAUAAUGUGGGUAAUCAAACCAAUCAAUUAUAAGGUGAAAAUUCAUUUUACAAAAAUCAAUUGGGCUAGUAAAAUUUUGAGGUGGAAAAAAAUUGAGAAAUAGAUGCAUUUCUUCUUUGUUUGAAUUUCAUACAUGCCAUUAGGGGUUUGUCCCAAUAAACUGGCUUGUUUUAGCUUUGUUAACAACAAUAAAAAAUCUCCUACAUUGCUAUGUUAGGGAUCCCUUUGAUCUCCUACAUAUACUUUUCUAAUCCCUACAAUCUGUUAAAUAUGUGAAAUUCUCUAAGCUAACACCUAAUCAGAUGUCAUUUUUAGGUUAUUGAUCUAGGAUUAGUAUCAACCUCAGCUUCUUUAACUUUGCCUAAUUCUAUCAUAUCUACUGUUGCAGAAGAAUGAGGCUUGAUAGAACUAUCAAAGUUGUGAUGAUGAUUCUGCUCAUGGUGUGCUUCAAAUGUCCACAUGAGGACUAAUGCGACCAUCACUGUUGACAGGAAAACGAGUCCUCCCCAUGUCAUAUGCGCGUUUUUCUUUAAUGGUUUGCAGUGGUAGUCAAGGAUAUCAGAGAACGAAUCAUACACUGUGUCGCAUUCUGCUAGGCUUUCCAUUCCAGGGUACACAUCCAGUAUCCUUUUGAGAGCAGUUGUAUAUGCCUCGAUGUUAUUGUAGUCCCUAAGCGGAAUCAAGACUCCACCAAUACAGUUUUCGUUCGUGCAAGUCAACAUCUUGAUUAUCUUCAUACAAGAAGAGAAAAUUCCGUCAAAUCAAAUGUAACUAAGAACAGUAACUUUGUGUGAAGGAAACUGUGAAUUAUAGCCUUUGAGUUAUAUAUACCCGAGGGAGGUCUCCUAUCCUGAUUGCGCUAGAUGGACAGUUCUCAUCAGGCUCGUAGUUAUAGUCAGGUGGACCGGAGAAUGGAUUGCAGAUUUGUGCAACAUUUCCAUAAUUUGUAGCUAGUUCUCGAUUUACCUGCAAAUUUCCAUGUUAUCAAGACUAGUAAACAAAAACCUUAUUGCUCUAAAUACCAGUAGUAUUACUUAUUUUGCUGUGAUACUAAAUUUUACCCUGUUCACUACUCGAUGAAUCCCUUCACUGACUUCAUGUAGAAUUGAUUCUGCAGUGAGUAAUUCAUUACAAGGGAGGAUGGAACUCAAGCUAUUGUUAUAGGGAUUUAUCUCGAAACUUUCUAGAGCUGUGCAUGCGUCUCCAGCAAAGCUACAAUAAACAGAUGGAAUAUGAUCAUCAGUACCCGUACAAUUUUUUAGAUGAAACACAAAACUUGAGUAGUUAUUGGAAAUCGUUUUCAUACUUACUUGUCUAGAAAGAAAUAAAUCCCGAAAAAUAACCAGCACAGAAUUGUAAAGAUCCAACACACUGCAAUCAGCCUGCAUGGAUGAGAAAAAUGUUUCAAACAUUAGAAACUAUCGGAGUAUUGCCAAGAACUUGGAAAGUGUAUGUCAGGUAUACUAUAUCUAAACAGGAGGCUAAAGUGAUAUACUUACAGGCGAAGAUUUCUUCUGAAUUUGAGGAUUCCAAAUACUGCAAUGAAAAAGAUUUUGCAGCUUUAGUCAGAAUUAGAUAUUUAACGACAGCCCUACUCAAAAAUACCAGGUGCGGAUAAGUUUUUAGUCACCUGUUAGGGCAAUUUCAAGAUUCUUUUGAAAUAAUAUCGAACAACAGGAAAAGUCGAGUUGGAUUUAGUAGUAACCUGUUAGGGCAAUUACAGCAACCAAGUUGAGUGAAAUGAUCAAUGUAGUUACUAUAUACCUGCCAACGAAAAGUAGCAUGCAUGUCAUUUUUUUUUUCUAGCAACAGAAAAUGUAUGCACUCGAAAGCACACACUAACUCUAGAUCCUGGAUUUGCAUCUACUAGAGGAUGAAGACUUACAAUAUGUCAAGGCCUUUCAUGAUUAAACGCCUAUUUUCGGUGGCUUCCCUAUGUAUAUCAGCAGCCUGUCUGUCAAGACUUCUAGAGGUGGGAAUGAGGAAACGAGCAGCCUCAUGACGUAUAUCAGUAUGUGCUAAGUCAGUGUACAUCGCUCUCAGGGCUCCAGUAGUAGUGUAUAUAGUCUCCGAUGCCCCCUCUGCUGUAUCAACGACAAUAUCCACAACUGUAUUUGUUCUCGAACGAAGUUUUGCAUUCCCUCCUAAUGCCAGGCCUGUAGCUGUUCUGCAAUAACAGUGAAAGUAUCUCCAUUUUGUAACCCCUUCCACUAUAAAUGAAACCAAGGAUGCAGAGCAUAUAUAUAUAUAUUUUUGGUACCUGUUUUGGGCUUAACAAGUAGUCUGUUUGGUCAAACUUGCGAAAUCUGCUUUUCGAAAAAAAUGUUUGACUAAUUUAAACAUUUUUGUCAAUAUUAGAGUAGCGAUUCGUGCUUGAUUAAGGUUCUAAAAGUACUUAUCAGAAAAAAGCUUUCAACUUCUCAAAAACAGUUUCUGCUACGACUCAAAAAAGCCCUCCUUACCACUCUCAGAGCUCGAACCCUAAGAUAUUUGGUAAUAUAGAGGAAUACUUACCAUCCCACCACAACGAGUGGGUGGUGGGGUGGGGUGGGGGUAUUUAAGUGAAAGAAUGAAGUAACUUACAUAGCUAAAAUUGUGAAGAAAAUAGCUGAGAAGGUCAGCCAGAGAUAACAUUGUUUAUAACAAGUUGAUUUCUUCUUAAACUCUUUGUUUUUCCUAUUAGAGCAGCAGCAGGUAGAGGCUAAAAGAAAUACUCCAUAUCCUAAGCCACACAACAGCCAUAUCACUGCAAUCACAUAGCCAUAUAUACCUGUAAAAAUUGUGGACUGCACAAGAAAAAAAAAAUUGAAAUUUCAUGUUAGAUGUUAUUUUUUAAUCCUAUUAACUCGUAUCAGGUCACACAAAGGAUAUUUAUAGUUAAGUGCCAUGAUGGUAUAAAAAAUUUCUAAUACUGACGAUAUAUAUAACUUAAAACACGUUAGGAUAAUAUAUGCAAACUCACACUCCAAUAGUGUUUAUUUGUAAUGUCAAAUCCUCCUUCGUAUUUCUUGAAAUUGUUCAAAGGAUUUAUUCUCACUGUAUCAUCUGAUUGCUUGGCUUCUGAAGCAUAAUCUAACUCAACUAAUCUUCUUUCUGCAUAAUCAACAAGUCAAUUUAUCACAUUAAUUAAUAUUAAAAACAAUAUUUCUUAGCAAUAAGCUUAAUAGAAUAGCUAGUUAUAAGUAUAUUAUAAAUGUAUUGCAUUAUUACUACAAUGCUGGAGUCGAUACAAUUGACAAAACUGUACAAGACAAUUUUCCAAAAACAAAAACUCAAAAAAGUGACUAGUAAACGUUAUUUCUAGUCAUACAAACCAAAACGAGAAACCAAACGGGUAACGAAAAAAAAUUAAUAUAAAAAAAAAUUGUUACCUGGUGGAUUGGUUGAUAAUCCUUCAAGAUUAGUGAAGUGAAAGAUAAAGAGUAGGGCAAAUAAUAGCAAGAUUAUAAUCACUUUCCUCCCAUGCAUAAACUCCAUCUUCUAACCUGUCAAGUAACUUAAACUUCGUAUCAAGAUAGAGUUAAAGAUAAGCUAAUUUUAUCUGUUAGCGACAAUAGUAAUAUAACAGCAAAGGCGAAGUCAGAAUUUUUAGUUUAUGAGUUUCUAACCAAGAUAUUUUUGUAUCGUUACUGAAUUAUCAAAAUUAUUAAAUUUUGUCGAAUGCUGAUAAAAAAGUACAUUAAUCUACCUUGUCGAACGUAUAGAGGUGAAUGUGGACAAAAAAUUAAAGCUUUUGUAAACGAAGCAAAAAAAGUAGAUUAUUAUGUGAAAGUAAGGAACAAUAUCAUUUAUUAAAAGAUAAUAUAAUUUUAAUUCUUAUACAUUAUAAAUACUGAAAUAACUAAAUAAAUUCUAUUAAAUAUCCUUCUCCUAUAUUAACUCUUUUUUUGUAGUGUUAUGUUUUUAAGUUUUAAAAGCUCCACCGACCAAGACAGUUUAUUUUUUCUUUUUCAUGAAAUAAUAUUAUCGAAUUAAAAGUUUGUUUCCUAAUCAAAUUGCUUUUUACAUAAUUAGUACUACAAAAACAUCAUGGAAGAAGAAUCUUCACUAUUAUUAUAUAUAAAAAAGAAAUUCAUUUUUUUUAUAAUACAGAAUGAAAAAUCAAGAUAUUACGUACCAAAAGAUAAAUCUAAAAAUUGAACUUUAAUUAUGUAUUCUAAUUAUACAAUGACUUCCUACAUACUAACGAUUGGAAAGUUUAUUUUCGUAUGUGAUAUUUAUAUUGGAGUUCGAUUAAAUUUAAAUUCACGCUGAAAAAUUUCACAUUAGAGAUUAAAACACUCUCUAACAAAGGCGACUCCAUAUACAAGACCUAAAUCCGAAAUUUCUUUUCUUUAUGUCUUGGGAACGUGGAUGGAACAAUUCUAUUCUUUUGUUUGUUAAGUACUUCCUCAUACUCAAAUUAUUUAUAUUUUAAAAAUUUAUAAGAAAUUAAUUAUUUUUUUAUUUUAUACUUAAUAAUAAUUGUUCUAGAACUACAAGCACGUAAACAGAGUAAAUAGUUAACGAAGAAAGAUUAUAUAUCUUAAAACAUAAUUGAGGAUAAAAUAGUAUUUCCAAAAAGAGAGAAGAUAAAAUAGUCAAUAAAAUAAUAAUAAUCUACCGAUUAACUUUAUUUUUUGAAAGAACAUGUAAAAGAGAAACACAACAGAUAAUUUGAGACGGAUAGAGUCCGAAAAAUACACGAAAACAAACACAAAUUAAAGAAUUCUUACCAGAUAGUUAUUCAGUUUGUUCAAGUCUUUCUUCUUAUAUACAAACUCAUAAAUCAUAUCAAAUUUAUUGAGGUACCCUAAAAUUCAAGCUAUUUACAAAGAGCUUUAUGAGAAAAAGAAAAGUUCAAUUUCACAUUCAUGAAGAGGAAAGGUCAGUUAACCAAAUUGUUUUUUUCAAUGUUAAUAUUGUAUACAAUGCAUACAGCAGCCUCUCUAAUUCUUCAACCCCCUUUUUGUGUACUAUGUAUACAAGCAAUAUAUAAAAUUUUGGAAUUCUCAACUUAGUUUAAGUCACCUUUAUAGGAAAUUAUGAAAAGGUUUACGAAAUAACUACUUAAUUAUCAUACAAAACAAAAUUACUUAUACGGGAUUUUAUAUAGGAAAUAAGAAAUGAUAACAUGUAAAAAUUAACUUAGCGUAUUAAACUUGGAUAAAUGUUUUCUUCAAGUUUCUUUUGUUUUGCCGUGCACAUAGUUUUAUAUAUAUGAAGUGAAGAAAAAGGAAGUGCCUAAUUUACUACUCUCUAUUUUAUAUACAUUAUUAAAAAUACAUGGUUCAAAAUUGUUAUUAUAAUAUAUAAGAAGUAAAGAUACAAUUAAAUGCACUGUGUUCUCAUUUUACCCCUUAAUAAUAAUGUUUUCAUAGAAAUGAUAGACUUUGAUUAACAAGUAUAGAAAAUCUAAGUGAAAAUCCAGAAUGCAUAUAUAGAAAUGAGAGAAUACUUGCUCAAUAGUUGUUCGUUGUGAAGUGUUAUGAAUAGAAAAAGUGAAUAACAAUGCUGUGAGAUAUAACGUAUAGUAGCGAUAGAAUAGAUUAUCUCAUAUGGUAGAAUAACUUAUCCCAGAAUCAAUUAUCAUAUAAUAACUUGUUUCCAACCAAACGACGGUGAUGGUUUAGACAUUUCACUUAGAGCCGAUUUUUCCUUUGAAGCACCAAACCAAACAUGUCGAUUAACUGAACUUAUAAUUAACAAAAGGAAAAGAACUUGUGAAAGACUUGACGAAAUCUUCCAUAACAUUGAACAGCAAAAGUCAUGAUAUCUAAGAGAGCCAAUCAUCGUAAACUAUCACCUCUUUGUAGGCUGCACAAAUAGAGUCAAAGAUGUAUAUAGUCAACUGCAAAAAGAAACCUAGAAAUUGCACCAAAUUGGUCUACAUCCAAUUUGAUAGUAAUAUGAACUUCUCAGCUUUCGAUCAUGGGCUCGGGACCUGAGGAUUCCGUCUGUGACUUGCUUGACUUACCAACACUAUUGAAAAGAAUGUCUUUAAUUACCUGCAAACCAAGGAUAAAUACAUAGUGUCAAGACAUUCUAUUCAGCAAUGGAAAUGUUCAAAGAAUUAAAGCUAGAUGAAUGAUGUGUGACUAAAAUAAGAAUAGAACAACAUGUACCUGCGACAUUAAGCCAUGAACUUGUUCGACAGUAAUCUUAGCACUAUCACGUGUAAUCUUAGCAAGCUGAGAUUCUUCCUGCAAUUCAGAGGACCAACACGUUUAGAAUCACUAUGCAACCUAAGUUGCAUGAUGCAUGUUGUAUUUUGCAAUUUAAUGAAGCAUGCAUAAGUAGAAAGGUAAAAAGAAGUCAAAAGACUACUGAAAAAUGAAGUCAGAGUCUGAUAGCACUCGAUGCACAGCCUGAAGUUUUAGGCCAAGGCUGUGUAACUACCACAUAACCAAGCUCAAUAGCACAAAAACAAAUGGUAAGAUGCAUGAAGUGAAACAAUAUGGCACAUCCCCACCUACUGCAGCAAAUUACUGAUUGCUUCAUAAUAAAUACUUGAAAAGGGUACUGCAUUACAAGAAAGUAAAAGCCUCCACCCCUGAGUGCAUUAUGGAGCCGUCCCGAUUCCCGAGGAUGCCAUCAUUCCAUGUAUUUAUGAUAGCUCAGGAUGAUGAAAGAAAGGAGAAAGAACAAGUUGGUCAUGCUACUUUAUGAAUUUUAGGGACUUCAUCCCAAGGGAAGACAAUCAAACAAGGCCUUUCACUAAGGGUAAAAUUGUAAUAGCAAGUAUCUUCCUUUUUCUAUUUAGUAAAAGUAGUGGUUAUUAUCUUGAAAGGUAGAUUAUUAUCAAACAUUUAUAGUUCCCCAAAGUUCUUUCUAAUUGGUUUAGGUGUAUGAUAGGAUAUUCAAAGGAGGUCAUUUCUAUAUUGAAUUGGUUGUCUUUGAUUCAUUUCUUGUGUCUACCCUUCUAUCUUAUUUUGUUUCUUUUACUUUCUUCUUGUUAUUCUUAAUUUUGUCUUUAGAAUUGUGUCAGGCCCGGUACCUCUAUCAAGCUCAUCCCUUUCUACAAGUGCAUGUAACAGUCAUAGAGAUAACAGUAAUAGUGAUGAUAAACUGCCAGACAAUACGUUGUUGCCUAGUCAUAUUUUAUCCUCUAUUCUGUAACUUCCCAGCUAAUUUUGGUCAAAAUGGUUACGUGCAAACUAAAAUAGACUUUGGAAGUUGAGGAAACUGGUUGGUUCAAUGCUUUCAGGAUCCACUUGCCACGGUACAAAUAUCGCAUGUGCAAAGGAAAAUAGAGAGAACAUUAAGAUAGAUUGAAAUCACUGCCCAAGGCAAAGACUGAUAUACCAAAUUCUAAUCAUAAAGCUUAUCCUCAAAUUUCACUAGGUUAGUAUUAUGCCUGAUAUACCUAAUUGCAAUCACAAAGCUUAUCCUCAAAUUUCGCUAGGUUAGUAUUAUGCCUGAGCCCUAAUAUACCAAAUAGUAAUCACAAAGCUUAUCCUCAAAUUUCGCUAGGUAAGUUGCUUGCUAAUAUAAUGCUAUAGCUUUUGUUUUCCACUCAUUUGCCUUUCACUGGUUUCUCAUCACUUCUAUGAGUCUGCUCCCCACCCCCCACCCCCAAACAAACCUCAAAUCCCUAAUGUGAGAAUGAAAAUACAGACACCUGUUCAUAAUAAACAGAGAAAUUCAAUAAUGAUGCAGCUCACCUUUUACACCUAGUUCUGCUUCACAGAUCCGAUAUUUGGCAAGUGAUUAUUAGCCACUCUUAACCACAGAAGUAACAAAUGUCUUUAUUCCACAGGUCCACUAUAAUAGAGGACCAAAAUAUUAGAGGUAAAGAUAGGAUCAUAUUGGCACAUUAUCAUGAUGGACUAGUUUUCUAUUUGGGGUGAUACUCUAAGACAUUCACAUGAGUAAUGAGAAGGAAACUUCUCCGAUGUCCACUAUACCUUACUUUGAUAUCUUCUGUUUAAAGUAGUAAGAGAACUCUUCACUCAUACUGUCUUGGCCAUUUAUCCCUUUCUUGAGAGUUACACUUCCACGUACACGCUGUUACUAAGAGUUGCAUGAACCUAAUCCAUAACAGAUCAACAGACCAUAUUUCUGCAUUUGAAUACAGAAUGUAUCCCUUUUUCUUCUUGUACUGCAUUACUUUCUUCUAGUUGAUCUUUAUAAGCACGCAUUAGGCGUUCCAGUAUAUAAAUUUUUAGCAACUCUCAUCACUUAAAAAUCAAGAGAAGAAAGAAUGAAAAUGUAAUUGGUGAAUUGGAGGCAAAUUUAUAUUUAGUACUCUUUGCACAUCCAUGCACACUUUAAUUUUAAGCAGUUUCAUGGCCCAGAAAAAUAUGAUCAAGAGGUACAGUUGCGGGUUUCCCUUGUCGUCGAAAUAGGAACCACAUGCCAAAAAGAUACAGAGAUAAUGGCUUCAACAAAUCCAAAAGACUAAAGAACUGGCAAACUGAUAUUCCUUUUUUAUGCCAGACUAAUAUUCUCAAAAACAAAGUAAGAGAUAGACUUGUGAGUUAGAGUAUGAAUUAUCAAGGCCAAAAGAAAAACAUGUAAAAGAAAAUACCUCCUUCUUCCUUUGAGGGGGUGCCAUUAAGGAUGCAUAACGUGAAUUAGACAGCUGAUUUUCAGCAUGCUCCAACUUUUCAGCUGCAUGAUUUAAUGGGAUCAACUAAUUUUAGGUGUUACAAUAUCAUGAAAACUCAUAUGCAGGAAUGAAAUCAUUAUGAUGAUAAAAGAAAGUGGAAAAUGUAGGCAAUAAUGAUAUUACCAAGAUCAGAUAUCUGUCCAGCAACAUAGUCUCCAUUUCCAAGCAAAGGAGAUGAUGAAAGUGUGUUCACCCAAUACUUGUUCCAUAGUAGGUCCAAGAGACGACAAUCGAGAGAAGACUUAAAAUAUGUAAUAUCCAAUGAAUAAUACUGCAAAUCGAGAGAAAAGCUGGUAAGCUAACAGUCAGAGUGAAGCAGAGUUGAAGACCUAGAUUCUAAUAUGUGUGCGAGUGCAAGCGCUCAUGCCAAAGAGGAGACCUGCUUGCAAUGUACUCCAAAGUCUUCGAUUUUGUUCAAAGGAAUGGUCUGGUACUCCGAGAUGGGGUCAUCUGGAGGUUUAUAUCCUUCAGGAUAUGUUCGAAAGGCACCAAUCUCAACUUUUCCAGCAGAAACAGUUCUUGUUGGAUCAAUAACAACUGCAAGAAAGGGUUCCUGAUAUUGCUGGUUGAGCAUUUGGGUAGAUACAUCAAUGCCAGAGAGCCAGCAUCCAUAACCAGGAUGGGAAUGGUACCACCCGACCACAUUUUCCAAACGACCAGCCUAUACCAAAAAGUCUGAGUAAGAGAAUGGUCAGAACAAACUGCAGUAACAAGCACACUCCAAUUCAGGAACCGAACACAACAACAUGACAUGGUCAUUAGGUUUCGGGAUCAAACUAGGUAAUAUUCUCUUCUUCACUGAGAAAACAUCACAAAUUCAAGCCAGCAGAAUGAAAUAUCAUAAUGGGAUUAGUGUACAAUCAAGGAUAAUAAGUUUUAUAUGAUUGUCCUCUUCAUAUAUGUCAAUCAAAAAAGUUACAACAAUAGUUGCAAGUCCCUGUUGUCAAGUAAGCUAGAGCAGACUGCUAGGCAAACUAGUCAAAGCAAAUUGGACCGUCACACGAAUGAGAACAAAACCUCAAUCUCAAGCUAAUUGGAAUCUGCUAUACGAACUUCACAAUUCAGUUAGUUUCCAUUUGAACCGGUAACAUUCUAAUACUUAGGGAGUAAUUCUAAAACUCAAGGCAUUUACUAUUUCAACCUACAGUUGUGCUCCAUCUGAACCAGUUUGAUUCCAAUAUUCAAUAAAUCCAACAAAUUCAUUCUAAAUUGACUAGGUUUAUUCUAAAGCUCACAGUAUACUAGAUACUCAUAAAAAAUUAAUCUUUUUUUUUAUAAACGCACUAACCUGCUUGUUGGUCUGUGAAUAUUCGACCAUAUAUUCAUACGCAUCAGCUUGAGCAUUAACCCUAGUUUCAGUGCCUUCAACGGGGAGGGCAAAAGCGUCCAUUACAAUGAUGGCAUCGCCGUCAGUCUUACCCUGCAUGAGUCCCAUGACCUCAAUUGUACCUCCGGAACGCGCGUGAACAACCAUCUUGAGAAGAGCAAGAGCAGAGAUCUUCACACGCUUGAAGUAGUGAGGGUCACUCGCCCACGGCUUCUCCCGCUGAAACUUCGUCUGUGCCGCAUCGUCGUAGUGGAAUAUAGCGUCCGACGCGGAGUUUUCCGGUUUCGACCCCGACGGCGCGUCGAUUGUUACGAUGUUGUUCUCUAACUCCCAGGUUUGCUGCGCCAUCGCCGCCGACGAUGCGUAAGAAUUCAGAGAGUCCAUUGUAACUUCAGAGAGAAGGGCAAUUGCCGAGCACUGCGCUACAAUCUGAAUUUAUAAGUUAAAAAUCGACCAGGGUUAAUUAGAACAAAUUUACUUGAAUUAAGAAAAGAACUCUAAAUAUCUUUUUGAAUUCGAAUCAAUUGGAAAUUAAAAAAUAUAUGUUAAAUUUAAAAUAUUAAUUGAUUAUUAAAUCAAAAAAAUAAUAUUUACUUAUUUGUAAAAUAACUAAAUAAAUAUUUAAUUAUUAUUAAACUAAUAAAUUAAACUUAUCUUUGAUAUUUCAAGUAUGCUAUAAGUUGUAAAUAUUCUAAAUAUUAAUGUUCCAGACAUUAAAUAUCUCUCAAUAUAUUUGACGGUGGAAAAUAAACAUUAUGAUUCACUUUUUCAAAGUUCAUUUUUGUAAUUUGUAGUUGAAGAAUCUACUUGUUGCAUCAUUCCAAAAAUAUUAUUGUUGCAUCGUAUAUUUCAAAAUAACUCGACUUAUUAUAAAAAAAAAAAAUUCACAAAUAAACUAGCAGUCUCUUUUUUUCAAUUCUUACAAGUUUGACACUGCCUGUACCUGUUUCUAACUGUUUUGACAUGCAUGGAAGAAUUAAAUUGAAUUAAUGCAAGAUUAAUUUGUUAUUAAUAAAUUUCUCGUAACAUUCAACACUUUUAAUAACAGAAUUAAUUUAUGGGAAUAACAGGAGAACAUUUAUAAAAGGUUUUAGUUCAGUUGCACUCACUGCUAUAAUUAACUAGCUAUAUAGCUACAGGAUUAAUUAAGAAAAAUAAGAUAAAAAUUAUAUUUAUAAAAUUACACAGAAUGCAGGUUAUACUAAUUUUUCUACUUUUUUUUGUUGGAAUUUUAGUGAAAUCAGUAAAUUCAGAAAGAUACAUUGUUGGAGAAGGCUAUGGCUGGCGUUCUGCUCCUUACCCUACUUACUAUGAAGAUUGGGGUAAAACUAUCAAGUUAAAACCUGGAGAUGAAUUAGGUAAAAUUCGAUUUCAUUUUACAUAGAUCGAUUUAGUUCAGUGUUUUUAUUCAUCGAAUUUUUCGUACCAAUUUAUUUGUAGAGUUUAGAUUCCAAAAGCCAGACGAUUUGCUGCAGAUUGCAAAAUAUGACUAUUAUGCAUGCAGUUCCAACACUCCUUCCAGGCAGUAUAACAAUAGUCCAGCAACAGCAUUCUUGUUGAUACCUGGAGAUUAUUACUUCAAAUCCAGCAACAAUACAAAUUGCAUCAAUGGCCAGAGGCUUUAUGUAAAUGUACCACCUCCAAAUGAAGAUAAAGAUAAGGAUAACCAGCCUGGUGUAUUAAAGAAUUAGAUCGAUACGAAUCUAAGAUAUCUAGAGUCAGUGAAAUCAGAAUGAAAAGUAAUCUUAUAUAUGCGUAAUCGUAGUUUUUUCUUAUGUUUUUGCAUGGUUUGGUUUGAGUCAGAGGCAAUAAGUUCAGUUGAACUCACAAAACCUGUCAUAGGCAAAAGAAUGCUCAGAUAUAUACAACAGGAAAUCUGUUUUCCAUGUGUAUUACCAGAAAUCUAUUAAAACAAAUAAAAUAAAUGAAGAAGCAACAGCUAUAAAUACAUAUCUGGGCUUAAGAAAGAAAACUAGGCUCUCUACUCUUCUGGCCAAAAUUUCACAUUCUUCCGUAAGUUUAACAGAAACAACCUUUCUACCCCAUAAACGUAGGGGGGUAAGGUAUGCAUACGUCCACCACUCUCUUCAGACUCCACUUGUGGGAAUAUACUGGGUAUGGUGUGGUUGUUCAUCAGAUUGUAUCUCCAGCACGAACCAUAGUAUGUCUUUUCAGAAUGCAGCAUCGGUGAACACCUGACAAUUUUCUUCAAGUCACACAAAUAGAACAAAAGGCCGUAAAAUAACAAACAUAAACAUGACCUCAUUUGAUUCAGAAGUUUCAAAGUACAGUUACAUGUAAGCAUACCAUACACAUGAAAUGAGUCUCUCUUUCAACGACGAAGAAACCGUUGUCCUUGCUAGAUAUCGUCACCAACAAAAUCUAGCAAAGCCUCUACGUAAUUGAGAUCUUGAGCUAUGCUCCAAUCAAUGCCUCGAGGCUUCAGAGGCUACUCCACAUCCAACAACUCCUUCAGUUGUUCUUUACUACUGCAUGUCCAGCAGACAACUAUGCAUUAGAAACAAUAACGAGUACAUGCAAUAACACAGAAAUCUAUAAGGUGAUUUCAGUUACUCUUUUUCGUUCAUAAUGCAAAAAGAAAAUCCCUCCUUUUACUAAACCACAGGCAGACGGGAUUAGUAAACUCGGACAAAUUGAGUGAGAUCACCUUCUUAAACGUAAAAAUACUUGGUCUGCACUAUAAUAUGACAUAUUGGCUUUUACUUUCACUAGACAGGGGAGUGCACAUAGCAUGUUAUAACUUGAUAAGACUAAAAAAUACAGCUGUGUCACGAUUCAAAGCUACUAAUGGAGACUGAAAAACUAGGUAUAGCAAGCAUAGAGGCAAAGUUCUUUCUCCUGGUGCCGAAACUAAAGAUGAUUCUUAAUCAUGUUUACUGAAGUUCAAUUCAGAGAUUAAAUGGAUAAACAUCUAUUGUACACUUAUUCUCAUACCAUCUAUACUCUGUCACACCACCAAUUCACACUGAAGUUUGCCUACCGCUUAAGUUCAUUUACCAAUAAUAACUUGAACUUAUCCUGCCAUAACAUCAAUUAUAUGAACCAAGCUGAAAAGGUCAUAUUUUGCUAAUUGGUCAUAGUUCUGCAAUUUGGAAAACUUCCUUUAUUUCUUUUAGGGCGAGAGAGGCAAUUUUAAAGUUCUGGAACAUUCUAUAAUCCUUUAUUGACGGAUAUAUAUAAAGAAAAAAAACGAUUAGCACAAAGAAAUUUGAGGUUUGGCCACAGGAUUAGACUACAAUAACUGUUUGGUCAUUGGACCUGUAGAGUAGACAAUCUAUAUAUUUUUGGUCAUAAGUAGAAGAUUAGUUUAAAAAUAAGCUUCUCUGAGUCGAGCAGCUUCCCUGCUCAUGAUAUUUUAUCUUCCAUGUCAAAAUAAAUAACACUAGAUAAUGUGUAGAAGUAAUAAGAGACCUGCAGCAGACUCAGAAGUACCUGUUUGCAAAAGAAGGAAUUAUCUCUUCAAGAGCAUGGAGCAUAAUGGAAUUAGUGGUCUCACCACAAGAACUUCGCCUGUUCUUGAGAACUGUAAAUGAAUAAAACAGCCAGUAAUCACCACCCUUAAAACUACAAAAUUUCAUAACUUACUAAGGAAUGGAAAACAAUAGAACUGGUGUAGGGGUAAAUAUAUUUGUAAAGGUUCAUAUUUCAAAAACUCUAAAAGAGAAUUUUGAAUUAUGUCGAAGUGAUAGCAAAAUCACAUUAAAUCCGACACUUCCUUGAAAGCAUUCUAGCUAUCUCAAAUCAUUCAUAACUUCGUCCUUUUUAGGGUCUCAGCAAUAACGAAAUAACUUGGAGAAAUUUACAAACGCUUCCCUUUUAGAGAUUACAAAUGAUAGGAUCCAGAAUGUACCAUAUCACUGUAUCAGUUUCUCACUCAAACAGAACUUUUUCAGAUAAUAAACAACCAUUCUACCCCCUGAAUGUUCACAACUGAACCACACAUCAUAGAUGGAUCAUGGGCCUAAGUUGUUUGGUUUACAUUUCUGCCUUCAUUUUCUCUUCUCCUUUACAAGAGGUUUGUUGCUUAAUCGAUACUCAUUCAGGAACAAGGUUCAGACCCCAUCAAUACCCCUUCUCAUUUCUAAUAUCUUACCCUCCCACACCAAAAAAGAAGAUUGAAAAGAGGUAACAACAACUAGGCCUCAAUUCCAAGCUAGUUCUGAGUAUGCAAAAAAAGAAAUAAGAAAAAAAAAACCUAACAUCUCAUUUCCUUUCUCAUACCAUAGAGACGGUAGAAGCAGCACAAGGAGAGUUUAGUGUUCAAGUACCUUCAAAAAUUUUGGGAUCUGAAGUGUUGCCUUGGAGAUAUGAUACAUUGUCCUCAGAUAACUGUAACCCAUCCAUCUGAGCGAACUUAUUUAAAAUACAGCCGACAAGACUAUAAGCAACCACACUUGUUUCAUCAGAACCUUCCUGGAUAAGAAGAUACUGAUUUCUACUCAAGUUUUGCCUGUGAAGUGAUACGCUUUUUUCUUCUGAACACUUCGACGAUGUAAAUUUUGGUGGUGUACAUCCCAAGUCCCCGACAGUUACUUUUUCCUCCAUAUUAUUCCUGCCUGAUACUUCAUUAGGUGAGAAAUGUGUAGCAAAACUAUUUUGAUCUCUGGUUGAAAAAGAUGAGCAUGAAUCCCUUCCUUCUUGAUGGCCUAUGUUUCUUAAAUGGAUAUCUUUACCACUCAUACUCUUUGUGACUUCAGAAGCUUUUGAUUCUAAGAAUGAUGAGGAAUUGUCAAACCAAUUGGAAUAAAUUGAAUCUACUCCAUCGGUAUACAUUGACUCAAUCUUGACGCUCAACUUGUGUUUGGAUGAAACCAGAGAGGAUAAACCAUCAUCUCGACUAGCAGUGAUUGGUGACUGAAAAUCACUUUGGUUUAUCUCGCCGACACUUUCUGCUUGGCUGUAUGAGAUAUUAGGAUCUGACUUGCAAUUCUGAGGAAGAUCAGAAAGAUAUUCAUCUUCAUCACCACCUUCAUAAUAACUAUCCUCUGCAUUCUCCACGUAAGCAUUUGCAAAAUCUUCACUGACAUCACAUUCAAUGAGAGAAUCCCAAACAAUCUGUUUUAUCUGAGCACUAAUAGUCAGCACACAUUCUACUUCUUCCUCUACCUCCUUGUUUGAGUAGGUUUUGCUAUAUUCAUGCCUAUAUUUUUUGUUAAUUAUUGCUAGACUUUCUAUUAAAGUUUCAGGGGUAGACUCCAAGUCGCUGCAUUCGAGAAGAUAUUCAGUCAACAGUUUCUUCACGUUCACACGCAAACGAACACUUUCUCUGGCAGCUUUAUUAUUAGAAUCCAUCACAAGAGGCAAAUUUCCCAGCUCUGUAAAACUCACUUUGGUUUUAUCAUCUAGAAUACUGAUUGCUUUUGCUAUAUCAUUCUGCAAUGCUUCUACAUCUGGUGAAAGUUUCCGGAAAAAACUCGGAGAGAGACAAUAAUCAAGUUCUGGUUUUAGCAUUAAGGCUGCUACGGACAAAGCCUUAGCCAGGGGUUCUGGUGGUUCAUCCCCUUCUUCGUAGUCCGAUAACAUUUUUAACGAAGUCCUCCUGAUUUGUUCAACUAAACUUCCAAUACUCCAACAUAUUCGAGGAGGCUGCAGUAAAGGGAUGUAACCUGUGACAUCCCUCAGAUUCCUAUGCAUUUUACUCAAAGUAAGAAGAGACAACUCUUCAAGUCUAUCCAGAACAUAAAUAGCAGAACUGCGAAAGGAUUCUGAGGUAGAACAAGAAGCCCCGUGAUUAACACGAAAGUUUUGAGGAUCUUUGAGGAGUUGAGAAAUUUUUUUAAUUCGACUUUGACUGGAAUCAUCAUGCUUAUGGAGAAUUUUGGGAAGAAACUGCUUGAUUAUCCUUUUCAUUUGCCAAUUGGUUUUCUCAAAAGAAAUCGAGCAUCCAGUUACAGUCUCAGCAAUACAGCAUAACCCCUUGUUGUUCAUCUUAUCAAGCAUGGAAUAUACGCCUCUCAAAUUCUCAGUUGAAUCAAAGAACAAUGUUGCUGGUCCACCAUGGUAUGUCGUUUCACCCUUAUGCACUCCAAAUGCCUUUGCAACGGAAGUUCGAAUGUUCUCAUAAUAUAACUGGAAUUAAGGCACAAGAAAGUAUCUCAGCUUAGCGGGGAAAACACUUUGGAAUUUAGUUUGACACAACAGAUAAUGUACAAUACAAACAAAGAACAGGUUUCUCUGAAAUAGGGAGUGAAUGAUAUCCUUUGGUUCAAAAAAUACACGUGAGCAGUAUCAUUUGGAUUUUUAUAUAAAAAAAAAAAAAAAAGAAAUACAGUCGGGAAUAUUUUAACAAUUUUGAGUUGUAGCAUGUCAUUACAUUAGCAAGCAUUGAAGGGAACACUUACAUCAUCUUCUCUAAGCAAUGAUUCAGGUAAACUCCUGCAGAUACAGACAACAGAGUCAAGGUUUAGUUUGAAGUGCAAACCAUUACAAGAAAACAACAUAGAAUAUAUCCCAAUUCAUUAUGAAUCCAGAUAACAAUAUGCACAAACAAGUUAUCAUAUAUAAGAGCAACCCAUGUACCAAGGUACUCUAAACUUCUAAUAAGUAUGUAGAUAUAAAACAACUUUCAUCAAGAAAGCACAAUGCUUUAAAAGAGCCAAUUCAAGGAGGUAAAUUUGCUGCUGCAUCUUCAAGAGUAAUGGAGAGCACUGCUGUGUAGUCAGUGCGGCUCAUAGUUCUGUAUAUCAAAAGAAGUACCAAGUGCACCAUCGCUACAACAUUUAACAUUGUAUAAGCCUGAAUAGAUGUGUGCAUCAAGUCUAAAUACUUCUAAGUUUGUUUGUUCCCUAACUUGGCCAAAGCUUACAGAAGAAGAAUUUUGAUAGACAACACAUUCAAGUACCAUUGCAUUCAUAUGGAACAGUCAAUUUUUUUGCAAAUACUUCAGCAACACAAAAGCAGUGCAACCGCUAAAAUGCCUUUUCUAGGGAGAGAUAAAUUCACUAACCAGGACAACACUUAUACAACAGAAACAAAAGGAAGAGUUUGAGUGUGUAUAUACAUAUAUGAAUUAAAGGAGAAAGGAAGUUCUCACAUAUCACCGGGAGGUUUGAGUCUGUCCAUCUUUUUUUGCUCUCUUUCGGACAAAUCCAAGUCCAUUAACCACCUGCAAAAUUAGUUUCACAUGCCUAAGUAAUACUGAAUAUUAUUACCACAAACACUUCGUAUUGCAUUACUGAUACAAAAAGAAUUGCUCCCUCCAUCAUAUUUUAUAUGACACUUUACUACUUUAGAACAUCCUAAAAUGUUUGAUACUUUUUACACAAUUUUCACAAAUCUAAACAAUAUACAAAAAUAAAAUUCAUCAAAUUAUUCAAAACUUUUGGCCAAAAUAAAUUUAAUUCGGGAUAGUUUUGUGCACGUAUUUACAUAAAUUAUACAUAUUUUACAUUUUAUAUCAAAGUACAUACCUACUCAAACCUAAUCAAUACAAAAAAUAUUAUGAAACCACUCAACCGAUAGAGUAUUAAACAAAGAAAGCAACUAUCAAAUUGGAAAGGAUCAUCAAUGUAGUGCUAAAACUAAAUGAUAAAAAUUCGAUUGUAGUUUAAAAUAAACUGAUAUCAGAGAAAAUAAAAAAACUUACCUUCUCUUGAGCCGAAGUUCUUUAUCUUGCUUCUUCAAUUGAGAAGCCAAAUCUUUACAAUCCUCCCUGUAGGAUUCCAUAUUAUCCUAUUCCUUUACAAUACAAAAAACAGUUCUACAAUUCUCUUCAAUAACAAAAAAAAACCACCUCAACAAGCAUUCACUCAAAUUAGUUCCGCAGCAGACAAAAAUGGAGGAACUCUGGGAAGAAACCAAAAUUAGUUAGUGUCUGGAUCAACGGCGGCACAACCCUACCGCCAAGGGGGCUCAAAAUUACAAAGAAUAAAAGAAAAAAUCAGUUCGCAGCACACAGAGAUACAUGACAUAAACAAAAAGAGAGCACCGUUGAAAGAAACAGAGUACCCUAGAAUAUUAAAAAAUUAGUAUGUAGUAGUUGUUACUAUAAUUAAAACUUGUAUAAACAUAGAAUAAAUUAUAAAGUUUAUUGUACAAAAAUAAAAAAAUAAAUUUUUAAAUGAAAUUUAAACAAGCUUAAGGAAUAUACUAAUUAACUAAGGGAAAAUUAGAAGGACAAACAUACACCUAAACUAUUGUAAACGGUAUGCUCGUAUCAUCUGUCACACUUUUGGGACAUAUGUGCUUCUAUCGUUCAAAAAUUAGGACAUAUAUGUUCUUCACUAUAACGAAAGAUUAAAUAGGGACAUGUGACACAAUUUUAUUCGUGAAACUAAUAUUCAAGGACCAUUUAUUUUUAGUAAGGACGAUAUAUAAACGGGAACAAAUGGAGUAUUUAUUCACAUACUUUAAAAACUUUAUUAUUGAUGUAAUUGUAAUUAAUUAUACACAAUUAAAUUUAUAGCUACUUUUUUAUUUUUUUAAUUUGUCUAGUUCACUUAUAUUGAUUUUUUAAAAUUGUCUUCAAUUUUUUGAGAUAAUUUAUCAAACAUUUCAAGUUGAAACUAAUUAGAUUAUCUAAUAAUUAAAUCUAAAAAUAUAGUAUCUUAAAUUUGAAUGUCUUCUAAAGUAAAAAUCGUUGGUUUUUGUAAUUAAAAUUAUUAUGAAAUAAUAUAUAAGUAAAAAAAAAUCUUUAAUUGUUAUAUUCAAUGAAGUGAAGUCUUGAAAUUAUUUCAAGACACUUUUAGAACAAUUUUGAUAGUUUAUUUAAUAAUUAACUAUAUUGAAAAAGUUUUCAAAAGUAUAAUCAAUAAUAGAGACUUAAACAUUUGUAUUGUUAUAUAACGUUCAAUUAGGACGGGAAGUCUAUUUAACCAAUAAAUUCAAUAGUAUUUCUCUUCUUAGCAUUAAGAGACAAUUGACGCGUAACAAACAUUUAGUUAUAUCAAAUUAACAACAUGAACAUGUAUAAGCUUCAAGGAGUUAAAUGAAUAUCAUUUCAUUUUAAUGACACUUUACAAAUGACCAUAAUAUAGUCUACAAAUUUCAAAUUCUCAAUUCACAUCAAAGAAUUCUUCAUAAACCUUGGAAUCUUAAAUUCCAAACAUUUUCAUAUCCCUCUCCUUUCUCCCCUCUAUAGUUUUGCUUUUAACGUAACGGGGACGCAGAUCUUAUCCCUAUCCUUCUGAUAGACUCUGGUCUCAAAUAUUCUUUAUCAAAUAAUCAUUGAUAUUGAACCCAACGGGAACAAAAAGCUUCUCACGUUCCCACCUAACUCGAUCCGCUUUAUAUAAAUAAGGAAAAUUUGUAACACUCCAAAAACAUUUUGUACAUUUGGAUCUCACAUUAUAAGCCCAAAAGAAUCCAUGGGUACGAGGAUUAAUGUACAAAUAACACCAUCUCAUAGGGAAAGCAAUUUGUGAGAUGUUAAAUUUGUAAUUAUCACCUGGAGAUAGCUUUGUUAAGGCAUUAAUUGUAUCGAAAUCUCUGCACAUGUAAUAGAUUGAGAAAUUGUUGUCGUUGGCUAAUGUUACCUCAAUUGUGGGAAACAUUUUAUUUACGAAACUUGUUUGUUGUUCAGCAGCAUCUGAAUAUUGAGGUGAAGAAAGAAAUAUUAUUAAAACAAUUAUGAAGAAAAGAGGACAACAAUUUGUCAUGUUCAUUGCCAUGAUUAUGGAUUUUAUUUUUUAAAUUUUUUUCAUGGCAAUUGUUUAGGUUAAUUUUG